CCAUGGUGGCCUCGGCUGCGUCGGCGGUGGGACUUUGGUUGGGCGCGCUCGAGGCGUGUCAGGGGUCAGACGAAGGACGGUGACAUGGGCGUCGGCAUUGGUGACUGCAGCGCCAAGUCCCAAGGCGUUCACAGCCUCAAGGUGGUCCGGAUCCGUCCUCCGAUGCCGAAUCUAAGUGAUACGCGUCUGUUUUCGUUGUCGGAGUCCAAGUCCCGUGCCGCUGUCGCCGCCGCUCGCUGCAUCCGUGUCGCCCGCCCGUGUCCUCUGCUUCGAGCAGGCGGGGAUGCGGCGAGCAGGCAGGGAGGUGGCAAGCAAGGCGGUGAGCAGGGAGGCAGGCGCGCGGCGAGGAUGAGAGCAGUGGCCGGGCGGUGUGCCAGGCAAGGCUUUCCUGCGCGGGCGUAGGAUUUGGUGGGGCGAGAAGGAAAAGAGAGAGCAUGCACGUGGGUGUGGCCCGGAGAAAAAGGGUGGAGAGAGGGAGUGGGAGGCUGACUAUGGGCCAAAUGACAUGCAAAAUCUUCUCUCUCCUCCCCCAAGUGCCCCGGUGGGCUGGGGCCUCGGAGCGCCGGCUCUAAUUUUGGCCAAAUCCGGCAAAAUGUGAGUCUUUGGGGUGAUGAGUGGGAAAGAAUUAACCGGCGCCCAAAACGUGGUCCUGGGGGGCGUCUGGAGAUGCUCUUACAUGCCUACCCCGCGGGUUGCGGACGUUGGCACGCCGUGGUGAUGACCUCUGCAACGUGCUCCAACGGGGAGGUGCAUGCAAUGGGACGGGCUUGCGCCGGCCAGGUUGGCCCGCGAUAUCUCCAGGAGCUCAACCUACGCAGGAAGUUUUUCAGCUUCGGGUGCUCAACAUGGAGAGGGAUGCACUGCGGGUGACUCAAGGAACGAGUCUUGGAUAGCAGCGAGAACUUCACCUCGGACUGCGGCCACUGAAGUAUCGCGCUCCAACGAUGCCGAGGGCGACUUGAGGCGCUUGACGCUAUCCUCCAACAUAGCUAGCGGGGCGUGGUCGCCCUACCACCGGAGAGCACCUGCCUCGGCGUGGGCAUUGUCAGUGUGGUGGGCGGAGUCGGGGAGUACCCGGCCGAGUCAGCCACCAUGGCGUAUUGGCGUGGUACUGGUGCAACACCGCCUCCACAGAUGUGUAAGCCGCCGCGAGCGCGUGCCAUUUCUGGCCAGCCAUGGCUCGUGCGAAGGAGAUCAAUGCAUAUUCCGGUGGGCUUGGACGCGAAGGGGGCUCCGGGCAGCCAUGGCUCAGCGGAGAGUGAGAGAUCAUGGCUCGGGGAAGAGAGAGAGAGAUCAGGAGUGGAGAUGGAGAGAAGAAAGAUAAGAGGAAGGAAGGCCCCAUAUGUAAGUCAACGAUCAAACAAAAUGGUCAAACAAACUGUUUGUUUAGGAGCGGGCUCAACCUAUCAUAAACCAGAUCAAGUUUAAAUCACAAUGUCCUUUAGUUUUUUUUUUCUGGGAAGGUCAUUUAGUUUUUUGAAAAAAAAAACCCACCAACCUGGUAGGUAUCCGCGACAAACAAAUAUGUGGUAGAUUUUUGGAAUUCCAGCUCGAAAAGUUGUAGUUUCUAUGCUAUUCACUUAAGCAUAUGCAACCGAACCGGGCAAUAGUGAGCCUUAAACAUCCUUGAAUAGUGACCGACCAUCUCUCAAAUGCUCACAUCCACAACCAUCCCCCUCAUAGAAAAUCCUCGGAUUCAUAUAAUGUCAUGCAACGUUAUGUAGUUCGUCUAGAUCAACACACACGUAACAUAGAGAGUGCAUACAUGUUAUCGGACUGCCAAAAAUUGACAUGUUUUACUAGCUAUGAAUUACAUGGCUAUAGAGGAAGUACACCCACGACGAACCUUUUCCUUGCCCUUGCCCUUGUCGUCUUCAUCGUGGAAGUAGCAAUUGAAGACACAAUAUGGAUCGAGUCGAAUCUGCUCACCCCAGAGUUGUCUGAUCGUCACCGACCACCUCCUCCCCCUCUUUAGGCUACAGUCCUGCGAGGUCACAGACCACCCAGGUUUGCUAUAAAGUCGACACAUUGACAAAGCUUUUAGAAGAAAUUAUCAACGUCAAAAAUACUGAAGAAAAUUUAUCAACAUCCAAAAUACUAAAGAAAAAUUAUUACUGAGCUCGUAUUUUGAGUUGCUUGAGUUGACGCCAAUGAGGUGACGGCUUGAGCACUGCAGAGAUCUGGUACUCCUACGCACCCUAGAAAACAAGAUCUUCUAUUGGCUUGCUUCUAAAGAUCGCUUGUGGACGGCCAACAGACUCGCCCGAACUGUCGCACACCGGACAAUGCCAGGGCGAUAAAGAUGCCCUGCACAGGCUGAUCCGAUGUCCAUUCGUGAGGGAAGUUUGGUACCAAAUUUCCUCCCCCUACGUUUGCACCGCUUCACCCCGUCGACAACAUGCCCUAUCUCGGAUUGGUGGCCCGCACGGAGCGCAGCAGUGUCGCGCUUGCUGUGGAAAGAGCUCAACACGAUCGUUUUCCCUACCAUGCGGUUCAUCUGGCUAGAACGCAAUAACAGGGUGUUUGGCCGUAAAUCCUCGUUCCCGGUCAUUGUUGUGGGUUGAUCAAGGCGGAUCUUGCACUUUGGCGACUAGCACAUGUCAACGGGGGGCCAACAUUUAAGUAUAUUGAGUGUGGACAGUGGGGUUGGGUUGGAGUUCGCAUGUGACCUCCAUCCUUGUAAUUAUCUGUGAACGUUGUUCUUUCUUAUCUUAAUGGAAAAGGCAAGACAACGAUCCUGCUAAAUGGCACCCAGGGACAAUGGAUCAACUGUAAGAAUGGUCUCCACAGGGUGACCCUCUUUUCCCUUACCUCUUUAUAAUUAUCGCAGACCUUCUUCAAUGUUUAAUCAUUCAGGCUUUCUCUUCCAACCAGCUAUGCCACCCAAUCUACACUAAUCGUCCUCCGGCUGUGCUUCAAUACGCUGACGACACUCUAAUCAUUGCCCAUGCUUCUACCAAAGCGCGGCCACUCUCAAAGAUAUCCUUGACAAGUUCGCCCUUGCUACCGGCUUGACCAUAAACUUCCAGAAAACCACCUCCAUGCCCAUCAACACGGACCCCAGUACUAACCAUAACAUCGCCCUAAAUUUUUGUUGCGAGCUCUCCUCCUUCCCACAAAUUUAUCUAGGUCUCCCUCUUUCUCACACAUGCUUCCCGUCCUCUGCCUUUGAACCCAUCAUUCAGCGCUUCCUAAAAUACCUCUCUGGUUGGGCGUCCAAGAUUCUCUCUCGCGGAACUUGACUCACCCUUCUCUCAUCCACUCUCGACGACCUCUCCACUCACUUCAUGUUUGUCUUUAGACUCCCCAAGAAGAUUAUCAAAAGGUUAGACGUUAUCUGUAGAUCUUUCUUCUGGUCUGCGGAGGAAAAUUGCUCCGGGGCUAAUGCCUUAUCGCGUGGAAAAUUGUUUGCAAACCAAAACUGGCUAGUGGUCUUGGGCUCAAAAACCUGCUUCUCCAAAACGACCGCCUCCUCAUGAAGAUUGCUUUCAAACUUCUCCAAAAACCAGACCUCCCUUGGGUUAAUUGGGUCUUCCAACACCACUCUCUUGACUUCACGUUUAAACCUCACAACCCCUCCUACGUUUGGAAAAUCGUUAACCACCAAAUCCCCCCCCCCUUCAAAAAAUCCCAUUCGUCCUUACCAACAAUGGCACCUCCACCUUCUUUUGGCUCGACACUUGGCUUCUGUCCACUCCUCUCGCAAAAACCUAUCCCCAUAUUUCCACACACUCCACCUCACCCUCGGUCCUGGUAUCUCAUGUCAUGCAUGAUGGUGAUGGUUUACUCGCUAAUCUUCGGAACCGCCUAACCCUUGUAGCCUAUGUCGAGCUUAUGUCUGUUCUAUCCUUGUUGCAGGAUGUCACCACUAGUGACACGCCCGACGACAGGUUCCUCACCCACGGCUCCUCAUUCACCUCGAGGUGCGCCUACUCGCUGGUCUCCUCCAACCACCGGUUUGAUCUCAACACAGGGUACAUCUGGGGCUCCAAGGCACCUAUCAAGGUUAAGAUCUUCGGUUGGCUUCUCUGCCGUGACAGGCUUAGCACGAUGGUGAACCUACAUCACAAGACCAUUACCACUACUUUGAUUUGUCCUCGGUGCAACAACUCUUUUCAGGACGCGACACACCUCGCCAUACUCUGCCCAUGCGCGGCUCUGGUCUGGGCCCUCCUGGGCCUUCAGACACCUCACUCCAUCGACCUCGUCUGGGAUACUCCAACACCGGUUGGCCUCUACAUCAGCAUCUAGCCUACCGUCACUCUCGCCAUCAUCUGAAAGCUGUGGGACUCUAGGAACACCUGUGUUCUCCGCAACGACAUGAACUCCCCCUUCAUACUAUUCAAAACAUCGUUAUAGACUUUACGCUUUGGGCCUUUAGAUUUAAGGACCCCGUAAGCAGGGAGGUUGCCCUGUCUUGGCGCAUGUACCUCUUCUCUCGUUGUAAUCCUUAAUGUAACUUGCCUUCGGGCUUUUGAGUAAUAUAUUCAGGUGGGGAUCCUCUCCCUCUCGAUGAUUGUUCAAAAAUAAUAAUGAAAAAGGAAUGCAAAGCUCUUGCAUGCUCUUGAAAAAAAAGGUGAUGGUUUGUUAAUUUAACUCUAUAAUCACAUUAGAGUUAUUUAUAAAGUUGGGCCUGAGGUUUGACUUCCAAUUAAAUUAACCAAAAAAAUGAUAUGGUCAAAGAUAUGAUAUCUGAGUAUCAAACAAAUGGAUGGCUAAACAUAUUCGUGGUUGCAUGUUAGGUUUGAAGAUUGAAACAUCCACUUUGGCCCUCAUUAGGAACACUAGAAUACGGUGUGAAUCAAUUCAAUUUGGCAUGCCAAAUGGACCUAUCUAAUGCCUUCUCCAUUUCAUCAUUAAAACAAACAUAUAAGGUGUUUUAUAAUUUGUCAAGACAAAGAUCUGAUAAAGAUCUACCAUAAUAUGUAGCUUAUGUAAAUAUGUAAUACAAAACUAUAAUCAUAGUUAGCCAUAUGCUUUUGAAUAUAAGUCAAAUUAUAUAAAUUCUCCUCCACCAUAGACCCGGACUAGCUAAACUGAAGGCAUGCAAGCGCGUUGUCCAAUUGGCGAUGGAGCUCCAUGUCCGGAAGCUGGUCUUGGAAACUGACUGUCGGGUGGUGGCCGCCAAGCUCACUAUCACACAAAGGGAUUCAUCCAUCUAUGGGUUGUUGAUUGAGGAAGUCAAGGGGUUACUAUUAUCGCGUGAUGAUUUUAGGGUUAAGUUGGUUCCGCGUUCUGCCAACUCUGCGGCCCAUUUGUUAGCUAAGAAAGGUUGCAGGAAUAAAUUAUGCAAACUGGCUUCAUAUCCCUCCUGAUUGUAUUUUUGAAAUUUAAACUUGUAUUUAGCCGAUAACUUUGAAUAAAGAAGCAACACUUUUGGUUGUCAGAAAAAAGCAACACUUUCAACUUUAAAAAUAUUAUAUAAAUUCUAUAUCAUAGAAAGUAUAUAUUAAGAAAGUGGUUGUUUCUCAAAUCCUUGUGCCAACUAUGACAAGGAGACUAGUACUUGUAUGAAUUAGGCAUGCAUUUAGUCAAAAAUAUCUAAUGUUUCGUUUUGUGAUCCAGUGCGAGGAUACUUAGAGAAGCUCUAGCAGUGUCUAUAUAGUCGCAAUCGCUAUAAUAGCCAUCAAUAUAGUGAUUUUGGUCAAAAAUUGCACUUUAGCAGAGUCGUCAUAUAGCUCUCGGUCGCCAUAGUUUAUGGAGUUCGCUCCAUAAAUGACCUCGCAGCCUCCAUAUUUUGAGGCUAGGGAGGUCCAGUAUGGAGCAAUAGAUUUCGCCCUUGAUACGUCUCCAACGUAUCUAUAAUUUUUUAUUGUUCCAUGCUAUAUUAUAUUCUGUUUUGGACAUUAUUGGGCUUGAUUAUACACUUUUAUAUUAUUUUUGGGACUAACCAAUUAACCGGAGGCCCAGCCCAGAAUUGUUGUUUUUUGCCUAUUUUAGAGUUUCGCAGAAAAAGAAUAUCAAACGGAGUCCAAACGGAAUGAAACCUUCGGGAAUGUGAUUUUCGGAACGAACGUGAUCCAGAGGACUUGGACCCUACGUCAAGACAUCAACCAGGAGGGCACGAGGUAGGGGGCGCGCCUACCCCCCCCCCCCCCAGGCGCGCCUUCCACCCUCGUGGGCCCCCUGUUGCUCCACCGACGUACUCCUUCCUCCUAUAUAUACCUACGUACCCCCAAACUACCAGAUAUGGAGCCAAAAACCUAAUUGCACCGCCGCAACCUUCUGUACCCGUGAGAUCCCAUCUUGGGGCCUAUUCCGGAGCUCCGCCAGAGGGGGCAUCGAUCACGGAGGGCUUCUACAUCAACACCAUAGCCUCUCCGAUGAAGUGUGAGUAGUUUACCUCAGACCUUCGGGUCCAUAGUUAUUAGCUAGAUGGCUUCUUCUCUCUUUUUGGAUCUCAAUACAAUGUUCUCCCCCUCUCUCGUGGAGAUCUAUUCGAUGUAAUCUUAUUUUGUGGUGUGUUUGUUGAGACCGAUGAAUUGUGGGUUUAUGAUCAAGUUUAUCUAUGAACAAUAUUUGAAUCUUCUCUGAAUUCUUUUAUGUAUGAUUGGUUAUCUUUGCAAGUCUCUUCGAAUUAUCAGUUUGGUUUGGCCUACUAGAUUGAUCUUUCUUGCAAUGGGAGAAGUGCUUAGCUUUGGGUCCAAUCUUGCGGUGUCCUUUCCUGUGACAGUAGGGGCAGCAAGGCACGUAUUGUAUUGUUGCCAUCGAGGAUAACAAGAUGGGGUUUAUAUCAUAUUGCAUGAGUUUAUCCCUCUACAUCAUGUCAUCUUGCUUAAAGCGUUACUCUGUUCUUAUGAACUUAAUACUCUAGAUGCAUGCUGGAUAGCGGUUGAUGUGUGGAGUAACAGUAGUAGAUGCAGGCGGGAGUCAGUCUACUUGUCUCGGACGUGAUGCCUAUAUACAUGAUCAUACCUAGAUAUUCUCAUAACUAUGCUCAAUUCUGUCAAUUGCUCAACAGUAAUUUAUUCAACCACCGUAAAUACUUAUGCUCUUGAGAGAAGCCACUAGUGAAACCUAUGGCCCCCGGGUCUAUUUUCCAUCAUAUUAAUCUUCCAACACUUAGCUAUUUCUGGCGUCAUUUUUAUUUUACUUUCUUUACUUUGCAUCUUUAUCAUAAAAAUACCAAAAAUAUUAUCUUAUCAUAUCUAUCAGAUCUCACUCUCGUAAGUGACCGUGUAGGGAUUGACAACCCCUUAUCGCGUUGGUUGCAAGGAUUUAUUUGUUUGUGUAGGUGCGAGGGACUCAUGCAUGGCCUCCUACUGGAUUGAUACCUUGGUUCUCAAAAACUGAGGGAAAUACUUACGCUACUUUGCUGCAUCACCCUUUCCUCUUCAAGGGAAAACCAACGCAGUGCUCAAGAGGUAGCAAGAAGGAUUUCUGGCGCCGCUGCCGGGGAGUCUACGCAAAAGUCAACAUACCAAGUACCCAUCACAAACCCUUAUCUCCCGCAUUACAUUAUUUGCCAUUUGCCUCUCAUUUUCCUCUCCCCCACUUCACCUUUGCCGUUUUAUUCGCCCUCUCCUUUUUCCGUUCGCCUCUUUUACUGCUUGCUUCUUGUUUGCUCGUGUGUUGGAUUGCUUGCCUGUCUCGAUGGCUCUACCAAGAUUUGGUGAUCUGCACCUUAAAAGACUAGAAGAGAUCGAAAGCAACGUUAGGAGUUUCAUGAUCUUACAAUUUGAACAUAAUAAUUUCUGUAGAAACGAGCUUAAGGAACAAAAAAAGCUUUAUGAGUUAUAUGAAUAAAGAGCUCGAUGAUAUGUCUAAAGAAUUUGAUGGUUUGAGAUCCCAAAUUGCUCAUCUUGAGAAGUUAAUAGCUGAAAUAUCGGAUAAGCAGACCACCUUAGUUAAUAAGAUGGCCGCUAAGCCGGAAAACUUUGAAAAUAAAGAUGAAGAUCUAAAGGUUAUUGAUGUGUCCCCUAUUAAAUCUUUGUUUUGCAACAUGAAUCUUGAUAAUGACGGGACUGAAUAUUAUCCACCUUUACCUAGAAGGCGUUCCAGAAAUUCGGAUUUUUUAGAUCUUGAUGCUAAAAUUGAUAAAAGUGGGAUUGAAGAGAUCAAAACAUUAGAUAUUAAUGAACCCACUAUUUUGGAUUUCAAGGAAUUUAAUUAUGAUAAUUUCUCUUUGAUAGAUUGUAUUUCCUUGUUGCAAUCCGUGCUAAAUUCUCGUCAUGCUUAUAGUCAAAAUAAAGCCUUUACCAAACAUAUCGUUGAUGCUUUGAUGCAAUCUUAUGAAGAAAAACUUGAGUUGGAAGUUUCUAUCCCUAGAAAACUUUAUGAUGAGUGGGAACCUACUAUUAAAAUUAAGAUUAAAGAUCAUGAAUGCUAUGCUUUGUGUAAUUUGGGUGCUAGUGUUUCCAUGAUUCCAAAGACUUUGUGCGAUUUGCUAGGUUUCCAUGAUUUUAAUGAUUGCUCUUUAAACUUGCACCUUGCGUAUUCCACCAUUAAGAAACCUAUGGGAAGAAUUAAUGAUGUUCUUAUUGUUGCAAAUAGGAAUUAUGUGCCCGUAGAUUUUAUUGUUCUUGAUAUAGAUUGCAAUCCUUCAUGUCCUAUUAUUCUUGGUAGACCUUUCCUUAGAACGAUCGGUGCAAUUAUUGAUAUGUGGGAAGGGAAUAUUAGAUUCCAAUUUCCGUUAAAGAAAGGAAUGGAACAAUUUCCUAGAAAGAAAAUAAAAUUACCAUAUGAAUCUAUCAUGAGAGCCACUUAUGGAUUGCCUACCAAAGAUGGCAAUACCUAGAUCUAUCCUUGCUUUUAUGCCUAGCUAGGGGCGUUAAACGAUAGCGCUUGUUGGGAGGCAACCCAAUUUUACUUUUAUUUUAUUUUUUUGUUUUUUUCUUCUUUUUAGGAAUAAAUAUUAGUUCUAGCCUCUGGUUAGGUGUAUUUUUAUGUUUUAAUUAGUGUUUGUGCCAAGUUUAACCUAUAGGAUCUUCUUGGAUGAUACUUAUUUGAUCUUGCAGAAAAUUCCAGAAACUUUCUGUUCACGAAACAAUUGUUAAAAAUCACCAGAACGUGAUAAAAUAUUUAUUCCAAUUGCUGAUGAUCAAUAAACAAAUUUUCUAGGUCGUCCUAUUUUGGCUGAUUUUUUAGAGUUCCAGAAGUUUGCGUUAGUUACAGAUUACUACAGACUGUUCUGUUUUUGACAGAUUCUGUUUUUCGUGUGUUGUUUGCUUAUUUUGAUGAAUCUAUGGCUAGUAAAAUAGUUUACAAACCAUAGAGAAAUUGGAAUACAUUAGGUUUAACACCAAUAUAAAUAAAUAAUGAGUUCAUUACAGUACCUUGAAGUGGUCUUUUGUUUUCUCUCGCUAACGGAGCUCACGAGAUUUUCUGCUGAGUUUUGUGUUGUGAAGUUUUCAAGUUUUGGGUAAAAGAUUUGAUGGAUUAUGGAACAAGGAGUGGCAAUAGCCUAAGAUUGGGGAUACCCAUGGCACCCCCAAGAUAAUCUAAGGACACCUAAAAGCCAAAACUUGGGGAUGCCUCGGAAGGCAUCCCCUCUUUCAUCUACUUCCAUCGGUAACUUUACUUGGAGCUAUAUUUUUAUUCACCACAUGAUAUGUGUUUUGCUUGGAGCGUCUUGUAUGAUUUGAGUCUUUGCUUUUUAGUUUACCACAAUCAUAUUUUCUGUACACAUAUUUUGAGAGAGACACACAUGAUUCGGAAAUUAUUAGAAUACUCUAUGUGCUUCACUUAUAUCUUUUGAGUUAUAUAGUUUUUGCUCUAGUACUUCACUUAUAUCUUUUAGAGCACGGUGGUGGAUUUGUUUUAUAGAAACUAUUGAUCUCUCAUGCUUCACUUAGAUUAUUUUGAGAGUCUUAAAUAGCAUGGUAAUUUGCUUAAAUAAUCCUAAUAUGCUAGGUAUUCAAGAUUAGUAAAAACUUUCUUAUGAGUGUGUUGAAUACUAAGAGAAGUUUGGUGCUUGAUGAUUGUUUUGAGACAUGGAGGUAGUGCUAUCAAAGUUGUGCUAGUUGAGUAGUUGUGAAUUUGAGAAAUACUUGUGUUGAAGUUUGCAAGUGCCGUAGCAUGCACGUAUGGUAAACGUUAUGUAACAAAUUUGAAACAUGAGGUGUUCUUUGAGUGUCUUCCUUAUGAGUGGCGGUCGGGGACGAGCGAUGGUCUUUUCCUACCAAUCUAUCCCCCUAGGAGCAUGCGCGUAAUGCUUGGUUUUUGAUGACUUGUAGAUUUUUGCAAUAAGUAUGUGAGUUCUUUAUGACUAAUGUUGAGUCCAUGGAUUAUACGCACUCUCACCUUUCCAUCAUUGCUAGCCUCUUCGGUACCGUGCAUUGCCCUUUCUCACAUUGAGAGUUGGUGCAAACUUCGCCGGUGCAUCCAAACCCCGUGAUAUGAUACGCUAUUUCACACAUAAACCUCCUUAUAUCUUCCUCAAAACAGCCACCAUACCUACCUAUUAUGGCAUUUCCAUAGCCAUUUCGAGAUAUAUUGCCAUGCAACUUUCCACCGUUCCGUUUAUCAUGACAUGUUCAUCAUUGUCAUCUUGCUUUGCAUGAUCAUGUAGUUGACAUAGUAUUUGUGGCAAAGCCACCAUUCAUAAUUCUUUCAUACAUGUCACUCUUAGUUUAUUGCAUAUCCCGUUACACCGCCGGAGGCAUUCAUAUAGAGUCAUACUUUGUUCUAGUAUCGAGUUGUAAUCAUUGAGUUGUAAAUAAAUAGAAGUGUGAUGAUCAUCAUUUUCUAGAGCAUUGUCCCAAGUGAGGAAUGAAUAAAAAAGAGAAAGGCCAUAAAAAAGAGAAGGCCCAAAAAAAUGAGAGAAAAAGAGAGAAGGGACAAUGCUACUAUCCUUUUACCACACUUGUGCUUCAAAGUAGCACCAUGAUCUUCACGAUAGAGAAUCUCUUGUUUUGUCACUUUCAUAUACUAGUGGGAACUUUUCAUUAUAGAACUUGGCUUGUAUAUUCCAACAAUGGGCCUCCUCAAGUGCCCUAGGUCUUCGUGAGCAAGCAAGUUGGAUGCACACCCACUUAGUUUCUUUUGUUGAGCUUUCUUAUAUUUAUAGCUCUAGUGCAUCCGUUGCAUGGCAAUCCCUACUCCUUGCAUUAACAUCAAUCGAUGGGCAUCUCCAUAGCUCAUUGAUUAGCCUCGUUGAUGUGAUACUUUCUCCUUUUUGUCUUCUCCACAUAACCCCCAUCAUUAUAUUCUAUUCCACCCAUAGUGCUAUAUCCAUGGCUCACGCUCAUGUAUUGCAUGAAAGUUGAAAAAGUUUGAGAUUACUAAAGUAUGAAACAAUUGCUUGGCUUGUCAUCGGGGUUGUGCAUGAUGAGAGUAUUCUUGUGUGACGAAAAUGGAGCAUGACUAAACAAUAUGAUUUUGUAGGGAUGAACUUUCUUUGGCCAUGUUAUUUUGAGAAAACAUAAUUGCUUAGUUAGUAUGCUUGAAGUAUUAUUACUUUUAUGUCAAUAUUGAACUUUUAUCUUGAAUCUUUCGGAUCUGAAUAUUCAUACCACAAUUAAGAAGAAUUACAUUGAAAUUAUGUCAAGUAGCAUUCCACUCAAAAAUUCUAUUUUUAUCAUUUACCUACUCGAGGACGAGCAGGAAUUAAGCUUGGGGAUGCUUGAUACGUCUCCAAUGUAUCUAUAAUUUUUUAUUGUUCCAUGCUAUAUUAUAUUCUGUUUUGGACAUUAUUGGGCUUGAUUAUACACUUUUAUAUUAUUUUUGGGACUAACCUAUUAACCGGAGGCCCAGCCCAGAAUUGUUGUUCUUUGCCUAUUUCAGAGUUUCGCAGAAAAACAAUAUCAAGCGGAGUCCAAACGGAAUGAAACCUUCGGGAACGUGAUUUUUGGAACGAACGUGAUCCAGAGGACUUGGACCCUACGUCAAGACAUCAACCAGGAGGGCACGAGGUAGGGGGGCGCGCCUACCCUCCACCCUCGUGGGCCCCCUGUUGCUCCACCGACGUACUCCUUCCUCCUAUAUAUACCUAUGUACCCCCAAACUACCAGAUACGGAGCCAAAAACCUAAUUCCACCGCCGCAACCUUCUGUACCUAUGAGAUCCCAUCUUGGGGCCUGUUUCGGAGCUCCGCCGGAGGGGGCAUCGAUUACGGAGGGCUUCUACAUCAACACCAUAGCCUCUCCGAUGUAGUGUGAGUAGUUUACCUCAGACCUUCGGGUCCAUAUUAUUAGCUAGAUGGCUUCUUCUCUCUUUUUGGAUCUCAAUACAAUGUUCUCCCCCUCUCUCGUGGAGAUCUAUUCGAUGUAAUCUUCUUUUGCGGUGUGUUUGUUGAGACCGAUGAAUUGUGGGUUUAUGAUCAAGUUUAUCUAUGAACAAUAUUUGAAUCUUCUCUGAAUUCUUUUAUGUAUGAUUGGUUAUCUUUGCAAGUCUCUUCGAAUUAUCAGUUUGGUUUGGCCUACUAGAUUGAUCUUUCUUGCAAUGGGAGAAGUGCUUAGCUUUGAGCUCAAUCUUGCGGUGUCCUUUCCCAGUGACAGUAGGGGCAGCAAGGCACGUAUUGUAUUGUUGCCAUCGAGGAUAACAAGAUGGGGUUUAUAUCAUAUUGCAUGAGUUUAUCCCUCUACAUCAUGUCAUCUUGCUUAAAGCGGUACUCUGUUCUUAUGAACAUAAUACUCUAGAUGCAUGCUGGAUAGCGGUCGAUGUGUGGAGUAAUAGUAGUAGAUGCAGGCAGGAGUCGGUCUACUUGUCUCGGACGUGAUGCCUAUAUACAUGAUCAUACCUAGAUAUUCUCAUAACUAUGCUCAAUUCUGUCAAUUGCUCAACAGUAAUUUGUUCACCCACCGUAAAUACUUAUGCUCUUGAGAGAAGCCACUAGUGAAACCUAUGGCCCCCGGGUCUAUUUUCCAUCAUAUUAAUCUUCCAACACUUAGCUAUUUCUGGGGCCAUUUUUAUUUUACUUUCUUUACUUUGCAUCUUUAUCAUAAAAAUACCAAAAAUAUUAUCUUAUCAUAUCUAUCAGAUCUCACUCUCGUAAGUGACCGUGUAGGGAUUGACAACCCCUUAUCGCGUUGGUUGUAAGGAUUUAUUUGUUUGUGUAGGUGCAAGGGACUCGUGCGUGGCCUCCUACGGGAUUGAUACCUUGGUUCUCAAAAACUGAGGGAAAUACUUACGCUACUUUGUUGCAUCACCCUUUCCUCUUCAAGGGAAAACCAACGCAGUGCUCAAGAGGUAGCAGCCCUCAGCUCCGGUUGCCGUAGAUGAAUAGUCGGCCUAUGACAACGCCGCUGGGGCGCAUUUCCAAGCCAAGCAGGCCAACAUUGGCACAUUCUACGCCGGUCAUGGCGGUGACUGUGGGGGCGGCCAUGGCCGUGGCUAUGGGGGUGGUUGUGGUCAUGGCCGUGGUGGUGAAUUGAGGUGGAGGUGGUCGUGGCCCCGACAAGUUUAACUAAUUAGUGUGUAAUUUAACUAAUUAUCAAGUGUUGUAUGAAUCUAAGUCGCAAGGCCACUAAUUUUUCUCUCCAUGCCUAUGAAUAAAAUCGAUGCUUCCGCACUUCUUUUAUGAGUUCAAUGAGUUCGUCUGAAUAUUUUAGAGAAGAAUAUGUGCUCCAAUAUCAUAUGGGCCUACUUAUGGGACAAAUAUAAAACUCACAUUAAGACAAUUUUGUAUUUCCGUUUUCGCUCGACAGUCUCCAUAUAUCUAUGAGCAAGUACAAUAUUGGGUUAUAAGUCCGUUUACAUGACACUAUUUUCUAGAAACGUUUACAUGACACUUGUGCCUAUGUGGAGAGAGAGACAAGAAAAAAAUGAAGGAGUGAGCUCUCAGACUACCCACAGGGGGAGUAACAUAGGUGGUAACAUCACACAUAUCUAGAUAAAAUAGAUGAUGUGACAAGCAAUUAAUGAGGAAAGAGAGACAUGUGAUAACAUAGCUAGUUACUAGUAAUAUGAGUAACAUCACAUAUACCAAGUCAAGAUGAGUCUGUAACCUAAUAAAUGAUAUGUUGCAUGACACCACACACAUGUUACUUCCCACUAUAAAGGUAGUAACAUAGACUACUUCCUCCGUCUCGGUUUACAGGGCAUGCACGUCGUUCUAGGUUGAGAAUUUAACUAGCAAUAUAUGUGUUAUAUGUGAUGAAAAAUAUAUGUUUCGAAACUACAUCCUAUUAAGAAUCCAAUGAUAUACUUUGGUGACAUAUAACUCAUAUUUAGUUAGUCAAAUGGAUGACCUAGAACUACGCACACGCCUUCUAAAUCGAGACGGAGGGAGUAGUAACAUAUGCAUGUUACUAGUCUAAGUUACUUCCCACUGUGGCUAGUCUCAUGCAAGAGCCGGCCUCUACACGUGCUCCUAGAUGAACGCAUUUAAUGAGAAGAAAGAGAUAGAGAGAAAGUGAAAAAAGUUGUGGACUUAUAGCCAAAACUAUUGUAUGAGUAAUGAAUAUUGUUAAUACUUGAUGACAUGGCAAGUCCAAUAGCCAGCAGCUGGCUAUAUUAUUAACCAUGCUCUAUAUGAAACAUGUGUUAUCCUUUAUAUGUGAUGUAAAGGCUGCCCUGCCAAUGUAGCACGAAAAAAAACCCCCUCGGGUGCUCCCACGAUCGCUAGGUGAUCUGGCGGCGACGGCGGACGAGCGCUCGUGAGAUGGCGGACUCGGCGGCGGGGAUCCCACCAGAGGGGAGGCGAUUGACUACAGUAGGGAGCCAGGAGGUGGGCCUCUCCAGCGUGAGGGAGUGGGAGGAGAUCAGGAAGAGAUCGAGGCAGAUCCUUCGGGGAUCGAAGGACCGGGCCUGAUACUUAAUUCGGGCGCAGAGGAGAGCGAAGGAAAUCGAAGCUGUUUUGGCAGGUGAGAUCCAGUUGUCUCCUGGGAGGGAAAGCGGGAUAGGAUUGGGGAGGGCCAUGCAUCCCGAUGGAUCAGAGGGGUAUGGAUCGAAGGGAAAGGGCGUGGUGUGCGUUCGGGUUAUACAGGCAGCUUCGGUUGAUUCACCAAUAUGUUUAUUCCUUCCGGAUUUUAGCAUGAGAGAUCAACAAGAUUUGAAGGAGGAGUCGAUUUUAGGCCCAGAUAUUACCUUUUGUGGAUCAAUCAGGGGAGAGGGAGUUGUUUUUGCUGUAGUUAUUAGGAAACUGCUCAUUCAUGGCAUUUUAUUCUUGAUUAAUAGCAUCAAAUUCCUUUAUGAGAUUGUUUGGAGGGGAACAUUGGCCUGCUAUAUCUAUGGGCACGGGACAGGUCGGGCCUUUUCACCUACCCUACCACUGCACACUCAUUUGUUCUUUGAUCCCUCCAUACCCUGCGGCGGCUUAGAGAGGUGGUCCAUGGCGGGUCAGGGGGGGUUUGUGAGUAGUGCUUUGGGGAAGAAAGUUGUGAGUGGUGUGAGUUCCAGGGGGUGACGGAUGCAGCGACGAGAAUGCGCUCUUCAUUGGCCAUCGACCAAGCUGGUUCAUCUCUUGGUCGGCCUCUUGUCAUUGACAUGGAGGCUACCCGCAAGACUGUCUGCGGGCUCCUGGUGGUGGGGCGCCUCCUGUCCCCUUUCCAGGUCAACCCGAGAUUCAUAGUCGACGACCUCCGGAGCACAGCUUGGAAGAACCAGGGUGUGGUCACCAUCCAGGAGGUGGCCAGCAAAGACGGGAGGUUCAUCCUCAAUUUUGCCGCUGAGAGUGACCGUCGGUUUGUGCUUGAGGAGCAGCCAUGGCACUUCAAGCGGGACGGCCUCAUCUUCGCCGAGUUCGACGGCAAGGGCGACCCUGCGGAGGUCGACCUUGGCGUCAUGACCAUAUGGGUUAAGGUACGAAAUCUCCCGUUCGAGUUUAAGAUGGAGAGUGUAGGGUGGUCUCUCGAGGAUCAACUGGGAGAGGUGCUGGAGGUUUCGCACCGUAACCAUGUAAUUGUUGAGAAAUACAUGUGUGUGCAUGUGAAGAUAUUAUUGCAUGAGCCUCUGAAAUGCUCUGUAGAGAUUACCCCUUUAGGUAGUUCAAAGAUCUUUAAAUAUGAUGUAAAGUAUGAGAAACUACCUUUGUACUAUGAGUGUUGUGGGAUAGUGUGUCAUACAUCAGAGGUUUUGUAAAAUUCCAAGAGAGGAGAGAGUAGUUUGUUUUCUAAGAAACCUUAGUGUUGAGCCCUACUGGAAGAGCCAAGGUACUAGCAGGAGGGGUCUCCUCUUCGGGAACUACGUUCGCGGCAGCAACAACUCGACUACAGGCAUUGUCAACAACAACAUCGCCAAGGCCACAGACGUCAUCAAGGUGGCCACUGCCGUGAGCGGGCUCACGGUCUCCGAUAAGGGGGCCGCUACUUCCGUCAGGACGAACACCGGCCAGGAGGGCCGGACUCAGGGGAUCAUGGCGCCUACCCCGGCGGGUGCGCCGCUUGGUCAUGAGGACCAGGCGGGCACGCUAGCUGGUCCUGCCGGGGGAGGCCAGGAGGUCCAGGGGUGCGUGACCAGGCUGGAGUCGCGCCAGAAUGCGGAGGUUGACCAAAGUCAGCAUUGUUAUGAUGUUGUACAUGCCCAAAGUACACAUGCAGGUCACGUGGCCAUGAUUUCUCACGCUCAAGUGAUGGCCAGGAAAACUCCAGUGGAUGGAGAUGAUGCUGGCGAGCUUUUUUUUCAGCCGGGAGUGUUGGAGGCGUUGUCUAGCGCUGUUGCAGCGAAAAUCGCUAUGGCCGGCGGUGAUACAUUGAAUAAUGCUCUACCCUUUAAAUUCAGUGCAGCAAAAAAUCCUAUGCGGGGCAACUCAGAAAAGAAAGAUAAAAAGAAAGGGGGGGCAAACAGAGUUGAAGAUGCCCGCAAGCAAGUGAUAGGGAAAAAAUAGGGGGGCAUUCUUUUGCGGCUCGUCCAACGGGCAAUGACUUAGAGAUUUCUUUUGAGAAAGAGAUGGAUAGUUAUGAGCGCAUAUUAUAUGGUGAUGUAAACGUCUCAUCCAAACGGGUGUGCACGGGUAGAGUGUAACGCCCACGAUGCGGCUAUAUCUCCCACGUGUCGAGGCACGACUUAGAGGCAUAACCGCAUUGUGGUUUUGUCGCAAAAAGGGUCAUCUUCACACAAUCCCAUGUAAUGAACAAGAAUGGGAUAAAGAGUUGGCUUACAAUCGCCACUUCACACAAUACAUAAAUAUAAUUCAUACAUCAUCCAAAAUACACACAUAGACCGACUACGGUCAAGAUCCAAAUGAAAAUAAGAUAACCCCAAAUGCUAGAUCCCCGAUCGUCCCAACUGGGCUCCACUACUGAUCAUCAGGAAAAGACACAUAGUAACGACCACGUUCCUCAUCGAACUCCCACUUGAGGUCAAUAUCAUCAACUGCACUGGCAUCGUCGGCACCUGCAACUGUUUUGGUAGAAUCUGUGGGUCACGAGGACUCAGCAAUCUCACACCCGCGAGAUCAAGACUAUUUAAGGUUAUAGGUAAGGAUGGUGAAAUGGGGUGGAGCUGCAGCAGGCACUAAGCAUAUAUGGUGGCUAACAUACGCAAAUGAGAGCGAGGAGAGAAGCAACGGAACGGUCGUCAACUAGCAAUGACCAAGAAGUGAUCCUGAACUCCUACUUACGUUCAUGCAUAACUCAAACCGUGUUCACUUCCCGGACUCCGCCGAGAAGAGACCAUCACGGCUACACACACAGUUGAUGUAUUUUAAUUGGGUCAAGUGACAAGUUCUCUACAACCGGACAUUAACAAAUUCCCAUCUGCCUCAUAAUCACGGGCACGGCUUUCGAAAGAUAAUACCCUGCAGGGGUGUCCCAACUUAGCCCAUUAUAAGCUCUCACGGUCAACGAAGGAUAAACCUUCUCCCGGAAAGACCCGAUCAGUCUCGGAAUCCCGGUUUACAAGACAUUUCGACAAUGGUAAAACAAGACCAGCAAAGCCGCCCGAAUGUGCCGACAAAUCCCGAUAGGAGCUGCACAUAUCUCGUUCUCAGGGCACACCGGAUAAGUCAAGCUACGAGUAAAACCAGACCUCGAGUUUCCCCGAGGUGGCCCCGCAGGCUGCUCGGUUCGGACCAACACUCGAAGGAGCACUGGCCCGGGGGGGUUAAAAUAAAGAUGACCCUCGGGCUCGCGAAAACCCGGGGGAAAAAGGCUUAGGUCGCAAAUGGUAAAACCAAGGUUGGGCCUUGCUGGAGGAGUUUUAUUCAAGGCGAACUGUCAAGGGGGUCCCAUAAAUCACCCAACCGCGUAAGGAACGCAAACUCAAGAAACAUAAUACCGGUAUGACAGAAACUAGGACGGCAAGAGUGGAACAAAACACCAGGCAUAAGGCCGAGCCUUCCACCCUUUACCAAAUAUAUAGAUGCAUUAAUCAAAUAAGAGAUAUUGUGAUAUCCCAACAUAUCCAUGUUCCAACAUGGAACAAACUUCAACUUCACCUGCAACUAGCAACGCUAUAAGAAGGGCUGAGCAAAAGCGGUAACAUAGCCAAACAACGGUUUGCUAGGAAAGGAUGGUCAGAGGCUGACAUGGCAAUAUGGGAGGCAUGAUAUAGCAAGUGAUAGGUAGCGCAACAUGGCAAUAGAACGAACAACUACAGGAACUUAACAUGGCAAAACAAGGCAUGGCAGUGUUCUACUAAAUGCAUAUGACAAAAGUCCCUUACUGACCAUAAGCCAAAAAGGACCAGAAGAUAUAAUGGCAACCAUGCAAACAUAGCAAGUUUCGUUAACAGGUUUCAGACUUAGCAGAAAACAGAGCAUGGCAGAAACAACAAUAUGAAGGCAUCUUGGUGAGCUUGACGCACUCACUACAGAGCAAUGCAUGACAAAAUAAGCAUACCAACAGCAAGAUGGCACCUUUAUGAAGCUAUCCAUGGCAACAUAAAAUACAUACCAUGUAUGAAACAACUAGAACAAGCUUGGCAAAAUUGCAUAUCAUGUAAACAAUCUGCCAGAAAUAUUUUAUAGCAAAAGUAGAGCAAGAUUGAGUCAUGCUAUGGCACUCCAUAAUUGCAAACAAGGGUAGGAAUGGAUCAAUUACAACAAUACCUACAAAACAUCCUUACUGAACAUCUCCAAAAUAUGCAUGGAUCUCUCUGUAGCAUCAAGUUUACAUGGCAACAAAAUAACAGCAGACAAAGACUUGGAGGAAUUACUAAGUCCCUGAAAUCAGAAACAUUACGGAGCCUAGUGUGCAUGCUUGUGCUAGUCACCACAGAGAUCAUAAAAAUACAUGGCAUACACCACUGGAAAUAUGGCAUGGCAUACAACAAAACACAUGUAGAGCUCAUGCCCAUAAGAUGCACAGAUUAAAUGCAACAAAAAUAACAAAUCCUCAAGUUCUGCUAAGUAACAGCAGAUAACAGCAAGUAGCACUCUUGCACCAGAGAUUUGGGCAUCAAGAUGAGCUCAAAUGAACCUGGUGCAAUGGAACAAAAUUAAGAGCAUCACGAGGCGAACAUUUCGAUAUAUUACACGCGCGAAAUAGAGCUAUAUGCAGAGAGUUAUGAUGCUAUGAAGAUGGGCACAUACUGUAAAAUUAUAAGGACUUGGGAUUUUCGGGGAGAGGUGAAAAAGUCGACCCGUUCUCAGAUCCGAUCAGGGCCGGCUCGGUUUCGACGGUGGCCGGAGCUGGGCUGCUGCCGGCGGCGGCGUGGAGGAGGAGGAGGCGCCGGGGCCCGGGGGAGAUGGCGGCGAGGAGGAAGGAGGACGGCGGCGAGGGUGGCGUCGUGGCCGCAGGCNNNNNNNNNNNNNNNNNNNNNNNNNNNNNNNNNNNNNNNNNNNNNNNNNNNNNNNNNNNNNNNNNNNNNNNNNNNNNNNNNNNNNNNNNNNNNNNNNNNNNNNNNNNNNNNNNNNNNNNNNNNNNNNNNNNNNNNNNNNNNNNNNNNNNNNNNNNNNNNNNNNNNNNNNNNNNNNNNNNNNNNNNNNNNNNNNNNNNNNNNNNNNNNNNNNNNNNNNNNNNNNNNNNNNNNNNNNNNNNNNNNNNNNNNNNNNNNNNNNNNNNNNNNNNNNNNNNNNNNNNNNNNNNNNNNNNNNNNNNNNNNNNNNNNNNNNNNNNNNNNNNNNNNNNNNNNNNNNNNNNNNNNNNNNNNNNNNNNNNNNNNNNNNNNNNNNNNNNNNNNNNNNNNNNNNNNNNNNNNNNNNNNNNNNNNNNNNNNNNNNNNNNNNNNNNNNNNNNNNNNNNNNNNNNNNNNNNNNNNNNNNNNNNNNNNNNNNNNNNNNNNNNNNNNNNNNNNNNNNNNNNNNNNNNNNNNNNNNNNNNNNNNNNNNNNNNNNNNNNNNNCACGGGACACGUGGCGGACGCGGGGUGGCUGCGGGAUCCGUCCGGCGGCGACCGGACGUGUCCGGCGGCGGCGGGGAAAAUGCUAGGGUUUGAUCUGCGUAUUAUUUCGGGAGGGGAGGCAUAUAUAUAGGUAGAGGGAGCUAGGAGGCUCCAAAUGAGGUGCGGUUUUCGCCCACACGAUCGUGAUCGAACGACCUAGAGCAUGGAAGAGAGUUUGGUGGGUUUUGGGCUGUUUAGAGAGGGGUUUUUUCUGCCCACACAAACGGACUUUGCGGUUACCCGGUUAACCGUUGGAGUAACAAACGACCUCCAAAUAGAACGAAACUUGACCGGUGGCCUACCAGUGGUAUACCAAGGCCACUUGACAAGCCUCGGUCCAUUCCGAGAACGUUUGACACCCGCUCGCGAAAGAAAAACAAGAGGGUGCGCCGGAGGAGGUAGGAGUGCCGGAUUGCAAAACGGACAACGGGGAAAAUGCUCGGAUGCAUGAGACGAACACGUAUGCAAAUGCAAUGCACAUGAUGACAUGAUAUGAGAUGCAUGACAUGAACAAAAUGCAAAACGAAAAACAAAACCCGACCACGAAGGGAAUAUCAUAACACAUGGCCGAAAAUGGCACGAGUCGGAGUUACAAAUAUGGAAAGUUACAUCCGGGGUGUUACAACACUCCACCACUACGAGAGGAUCUCGUCCCGAGAUCUAGGACUGAAAGAACUCCGGAUAUUCGGAACGGAGAUGGUCCUCGCGUUCCCAGGUGGCUUCCCGGUCGGAAUGGUGCGACCACUUCACUUUCAGGAAUUUGAUUGACUUGUUGCGAGUCUUGCGCUCGGUUUCUUCAAGAAUGGCAACGGGGUGCUCAUGAUAAGACAGAUAUUCUUGAAGGUCAAUCUCUUCGAAGUUGAUGGUGCGCUCGGGCAUCUUGAAGCACUUGCGGAGCUGUGACACGUGGAACACGUCGUGCACGUUCGCGAAGUUGGAAGGAAGCUCAAGUUGAUAGGUGAGGUCGCCUCUUUUGCCAAUGAUCUUGAAAGGACCCACGUAUCUAGGGGCAAGCUUCCCUUUGAUACCGAAGCGACGAGUGCCUUUCAUUGGAGAGACGCGGAGGUAGACAUGGUCUUCGAUCUCGAAAGCCACAUCACGGUGCUUACUAUCAUAGUAACUCUUCUGUCGCGAUUGCGCGGCUUUGAGAUUUUCACGGAUGACUUUACACAUUUCUUCAGCCUCUGUGAUUAAGUCAUUGCCAAGAAGUUGGCGUUCACUAGUCUCUGACCAAUUGAGAGGAGUACGGCACUUUCUGCCAUAAUCUCGAAUGGGGCCUUGCCCGAACUUGCUUGGAAGCUGUUGUUGUAGGAGAAUUCAGCAUAUGGAAGACAAUCUUCCAAUUUCAUGCCAAAGGAAAUGACACAAGCCCUGAGCAUAUCUUCAAGAAUUUGAUUGACUCGCUCGACUUGGCCACUAGUUUGAGGAUGGAAAGCUGUGCUGAAGCGAAUGUUUGUGCCCAUGGCCUUCUGGAAGGAGUCCCGGAACUUAGAGGUGAAGAUGCUUCCACGAUCUGAAGAAAUCAAUUGUGGAAUGCCGUGCAAGGAGACAAUUCUGGAGGUGUAUAGCUCUGCCAACUGAGCUGCUGUGAUAGACUCUUUGAUUGGAAGGAAAUGAGCCACUUUAGAAAGCUUGUCGAUGACAACGAAGAUAGCAUCAUUUCCACGCUUAGACUUUGGAAAUCUAGUCAAGAAGUCCAUUUCGAUAUGAUCAAACUUCCAUUCUAGGAUAGCAAGAGGUUGGAGGAGACCAGCUGGUCGUUGGUGUUCUACUUUCACUCUUCGACAGACAUCGCAUUCAUUCACGAACUGAGCAAUUUCUCGCUUCAUUCGAGUCCACCAAUACGACUGUUUGAGGUCAUAGUACAUCUUCGUACUUCCAGGAUGAAUGGAAAGGAGAGAAUUGUGCGCCUCGUUCAUUAUGACUUUCCUUAGAUCACCUUUAGGAACCACAAUCCGGUCCUCGAAGAAUAAAGUGUCUCUGUCAUCAAUGCGGUAGCACUUGUAUUUGGAAAGACCCUUGUCGAUACCACGUUUCACCUUCUUCACCAUGGCAUCAAGAAGUUGUGCCUCACGAAUUUGAUCUUCCAAAGUAGGAGAGACUAUGAGGUUGGCAAGAAAGCCUUGAGGAACAACUUGGAGAUUCAGCUUGCGGAAAGCUUCACAAAGAUCCGGUUGGAAUGGCUUGAGAAUUAAGCUGUUGCAAUAAGCCUUCCUGCUUAAAGCAUCUGCAAUGACAUUGGCCUUGCCUGGAGUAUAUUCAAUACUCGGAUUGUACUAUUGAAUCAUUUCGACCCAUCGAGUCUGCCUGAGGUUGAGGUUGGGUUGAGUGAAGAUGUACUUGAGACUCUUGUAAUCGGUGAAUAUGUCCACUUUUCUUCCCAGCAAGAGAUGUCUCCACGUUAUUAAUGCAUGGACAACUGCCGCCAACUCAAGAUCGUGAGUGGGGUAGUUCUUCUCAUUGGGCUUCAACUAACGAGAGGUAUAGGCCACAACUUUCUUCUCUUGCAUUAACACAGCACCGAGACCUUGGAGAGAAGCAUCACAGAAAACUUCAAAUGGCUUGGAUUCGUCGGGAGGAGUCAAGACAGGAGCUGUGACUAGUUUCUCUUUGAGAGUGUUUAAAGCAACGUCACACUCAGGAGACCAGACAUACUUCACAUGCUUCUGGAGGAGGUUGGAAAGAGGCUUUGCAAUCUUGGAGAAAUUCUCAACGAAUCUUCGGCAAUAGCUUGCAAGACCAAGAAAACUGCGGAGCUGCUUGACAUUCUGAGGAGGUUCCCAAUUCACAAUUGCAGACACCUUCUCGGGAUUAACAGCGAUGCCCUUGGCAGAGAUGAUGUGACCAAGGUAAAGAACUUCAUCAAGCCAAAACUCACAUUUUUAAAACUUCGCAUAGAAUUGAUACUCUCUGAGCUUGUCGAGCACCAAUCGCAAAUGUUUGGCAUGGUCCUUCUUAUUCUUGGAGAAGACCAAUAUAUCAUCGAGAUACACCAGAACGAAUUCAUUGGUAUAGGAGUUGAAGAUGAAAUUCAUCAUCCGAGAGAAUGUUGGAGGAGCAUUGACAAGGCCGAAAGACAUGAAAGUAUAUUCAUAAGAACCAAAGUUUGUUCUGAAUGCUGUCUUGGGAAUAUCUUCUUCACGAAUGCGAAUCUGAUGAUAACCCAUAUGGAGAUCAAGCUUGGAGAAUACUUUGGCACCUUUGAGUUGCUCGAAUAGCUCAUUGAUGUUGGGAAGUGGAUACUUGUUCUUGAUUGUCUUCUUGUUCAAUGGACGGUAGUCGACACAAAGUCGGUCCAUGCCAUCCUUCUUCUAGACAAAAAGAACACCACAACCCCAUGGAGAUGAACUCGGUCUGAUCAAACCCAGACGCUCUUGUUCAUCGAGUUGUUUCUUCAAUUCCUUCAACUCCUUGGGUCCAAGCUUGUAUGGACACUUGCAAACGGGUUCAGUGCCCGGCUCAAGAUCGAUAACGAACUCAACUGGCUGGUGAGGAGGCAUACCCGGUGUAAGGGCAUAUUUAUCCCUAAGAUUUUUGGUGAUUGAUGACAAUGCUUUUGUGGACUAAUCGUGUGCGUUGAGUGUUUUUCAGAGAUUCAUCCUUUUGGCACGAGACGAUUUCCUCCCCUCGGAGCUUAAAGCGAAGACGGUGUAGUCCUUUCGGAUUAGUUUGGUGGACUAGUUUCAUAGGGAUCACCGUACUAUCAAGAGGGGGUCCGUUUUGGAAAGGCUAGGGCGGAAUCAUCACGUACACUUCCUUUUCCCCUCCCUCCGAGCCUUUCCGUUUCGAUGAUGGGCUUGGUUCUCCUCUCUUUGUGCCCUCUCUGGUCCCAGCGGUAGUACCGCGGGCCAGAGCGGUAGUACCGCUUGGGUGCUACAAGCGGUAGUACCGCUCUGGAGCGGUAGUACCGCCCAGAGCAGUAGUACCGCUAGUAGCCCCCAUGUGUGUACUAACUCUGGUCCCAGCGGUGGUACUGCGGGACGGAGCGGUAGUACCGCUUGGGUGCCUCAAGCGGUAGUACCGCUCUGGGCGCGGUAGUACCGCUCCAGAGCAGUAGUACCGCUAGUGGCCCCAAGCCGUAGUACCGCGGUGGUCUCGUGCUAGUACCGCCUCGAUUCAAGGGCUCCUUUUUCGUGUCGAGUUUUAUGGUACUGGCCGCGGCUGUGGGGGGCCGUAGUACCGCUCCUGUGCGGUAGUACCGCCCACCCUCCGCGGUAGUACCGCUGUGGGCCAAGCGGUAGUACCGCGUUGUGUAGCGGUAGUACCGCUUAUAGUGGCGAGCGGUAGUACCGCUGGCAUAGCGGUACUACCACUCUCUUCGGGGCAGAAGGGGGGUAACGGUUGGUUUGUUCCCCCCACUAUAUAAAGGGGUCUUCUUCCCCAAAGUUGACAUCACCUCUUCCCCCAAAAAGCUCCAUUGUUGCUCCAAGCUCCAUUUUCGCCCGAUCUCUCUCCCUAGCCAAUCAAACUUGUUGAUUUGCUCGGGAUUGGUUGAGAAGGCCACGAUCUACACUUCCACCAAGAGAAAUUUGAUUCCCCCCACUUAUCCCUAGCGGAUCUUGUUACUCUUGGGUGUUUGAGCACCCUAGACGGUUGAGGUCACCGCGGAGCCAUAGUCCAUUGUGGUGAAGCUUUGUGGUGUCGUUGGGAGCCUCCAAUUAAGUUGUGGAGAUUGCCCCAACCUUGUUUGUAAAGGUCCGGUCGCCGCCUUCAAGGGCACCAAUAGUGGAAUCACGGCAUCUCGCAUUGUGUGAGGGUGUGAGGAGAAUACGGUGGCCCUUGUGGCUUCUUGGGGAGCAUUGUGCCUCCACACCGCUCCAACGGAGACGUACUUCCCUUCAAAAGGAAGGAACUUCGGUAACACAUCCUCGUCUUCACCGGCUCCACUCUUGGUUAUCUCGUUCCUUUACUUUAGCUAGUUUACUUGUGUUAUAUCUCUUACUUGCUUGCGUGCUUGUUGUCGUUGCAUCAUAUAGGUUGCUCACUUAGUUGCAUAUCUAGACAACCUAUUUUGAUGCAAAGUUUAAUUUGGUAAAGAAAAGCUAAAAAAAAUUGUUAGUUGCCUAUUCACCCCCCCCCCUCUAGUCAACUAUAUCGAUCCUUUCAAUUGGUAUCAGAGCCUCGUCUCUUUAUUAAGGACUUUACCGUCCAAAGAGUAUGGUUGACGUCGUAGACGGUGCGGAGGAGCACUCCGGUGAGAAUCCAGUCUCGUCUAUGGGAGAUGGGGGAACCGCGGUCUCUCGUGAGGAAUUCAAUGUGGCGUUGGACACAUUGAAAACCUCCAUGACGACCAAGGUCGAAAGCAUGUUGAAUAAAUUCUUAGAAGGGCUUAAACUUACCACUGCACCGUUGAAAGUGGGUGAUCCCGCUAACAAGGUGACGGAUGCUACCUCCGACAAGGGGGAAGCUUCGAGCGAGAAGGCUCCUUGUUCUAGUGAUAAAAAUGGGACCGGCAUCUUUGCCCAUGUGGAACCUCCACCUGUCUAUGGUGGACCACUCCCUUCCACUCAUUUGAAUCAUGUCGGCCCGGCCCCUAAGAUUGAGAAGAAUGUAGAUUUUGAUUCUUGGGUCUAUCAUUUUAAGCGUCAUUUAAAUCAUGUGAACACUAACCUUUGGAGAAUCAUUGAAGAAGGCUUUUAUCCGCAUGACCGAAGUAACUUCACUCCUAGAGAAGUUGUGGAUCAUCAAUUCAAUGAAAAUGCUCUCUUCAUCAUCCAAGAAGCCAUCCCACCCGAAGAUCUUCCUCAUCUCCGGCCUUACACCGUGGCCAAAGAUGCGUGGCUCCAAGUUGUUCCCCUUUAUCGGGGAAGCGCAAGCAUUCAACGCUCCAACUAUGAAGCGGUGCAAGAUGAAGCCGACGAGUUUGCAAUGAAAGAAGAUGACGAACCUCGUGAGCUUUUUCGGAGAGUAACCAAACUCGCGGUCUCGCUCCAAGAUCAUGGAAGCAAGGACACGGAUGACAAUUGGAUCAAGCGCAAGUUCCUCAAGGCAAUGAUGCCCUACCACAAAGCCAUGUCCUCCGUAAUUCAUCAAAGGCCGGACUUUCACACCUUGUCCUCAAGUGAAGUGUUGGAUGAGUUUGUGGCUAUGAGCAUCUUGGACAAGACCGCCAACAAUGCGGUUCUUCGCUCUCAAAGAGUUAAGAAGCCCAACCUUGCUCUAAAGGCCAAGGUUAGUAUGGAGGAAGAGGAUGAAGAGGAAGAAGAGGAGGGCAACCUCGAAGAUACGAAGUAUGCCUAUCAUGAACACAUGGCUCUUGCUUCAAGGCAAUUUUGGAGCAAGAAGAACACAAGGCCAAACUUCAACAAAAGCAACUCAAGUGGCGCAAAGGGCAAGCAACGGAUGAGGACUUGCUUCAAUUGUGGCAAUGUUAGCCACUUUGUUGCGGAGUGCCCUUACGAGAAGAGGGAAGACAAUGGUGGCAAGCUCAUUAGAAAAGACAAGGCCAAGUCGUUCCCCAACAAGAGCAACUUCACCAAGAAGACUCCUCCCAAGGCGUUGGUGGUUCAAGAAGAGUACAAUGAGGAUGAUGACGAUGAUGAAGAUAGUGAGUCAGUUGCCAUGGCCUCCGUUGCCAUUGCGAAGACUCCACGGGUGUCUCUCUUCGACUCACCCAAUGAGAACAUCACCGCCAAGUGCCUCAUGGCUAAAGCCACCAAUAAGGUAACCUCCAACAUCAAAACUACCAUCAUUGAUCAUCCUUCUUCGACGGAUAGCAUUGAUGAACAUGAGGGGACAAAUGUGGAGGAAAAUGAGUUUGAGAUCUUUAUGGGUAAACUCAAGGGUAAAUCCAAGAAGCACUUCGUUGCUCUCUUGGAACAACUUGGUGAAGCCAAUGACAUGAUCGAGGCUCACGAAGAUACCAUCUCUAAGAUGGAGGGGCAUAGUCGUGACUAUGCCGAUGAGAUUUCGGAUCUUUCCAAUGCUCUUGAUGAAGAGCGUGGUCUUCGUUUGGCUCUUGAGGAUUCAUACAACGAUGAUCAUGCUAAGUUAAAGAAAGAUCUUGAUCAUGCUCUUGUUGUGUCUCGUGUGCUAAACUCCGAGAAGGCAAAACUUGGGGUUGAUCUUGCUAGACUCAAAGAGGAGUUUGGCAUUCUCGACAAGGCUCACAAAGUCUUGAAGGGUGUUCAUGCUAGCCUCAAGGAGUCUCAUGAUCAACUCCAAGUGAAGCUAACAAAGGAGAAAGCCACCUUUCCUCAUAUGGUGUUAAUUGAUAAUGCAAAUGCUACUAACCCGUGUUGUGAGCAUGUGCAUCUUGUUGAGGAGAAUGCUAAGUUGAAGGAGUAACUUGAGAAAGGCCUUGUGUCAUGCAUACAAGGUGAGAAGAACCUCAACACCCUCUUGAGCAAUCAAAAGGAAGUUGUGGCCAAGGAGGGGAUUGGGUUCACACCCAAUCCCAAGAACAAGAAGAAGAAUGACAAGACCAGGCGACCUCCUCCUCUCAAGCAAACUUUUGUGAAGGAGGGAGAGGGUGCUUCCAAGGAGAAGAAGAACAAUGCAAAGGGUGGCGGUGUCAAGAAGAGCAAUGCCACUCCUUCCAACAAAGCCGGCGACUUUAAUCCUUCUUAUGUGUUAUGCCGUGCUAGUGAUGGGCAUGUUUAUGCCAAAUUCGUUGGUUCUCCUUAUGAGUACAUUGAAUGGUCUAUUUGGGUUCCUAAGACCCUUAUUACUAACAUCAAAGGACCCAUUACAAAGUGGGUACCUAAAACCAAGCAUUGAUCUCUUGUAGGUGUUUGCUUCCGGUGGGGGAUCAUGGUUGCUCGAUAGUGGAGCUACAAAUCAUAUGACCGGAAGCAAGGACUUGGUGGUGGACGUGCACAAGAUUCCAUCUAUGCCCACCAAUGUCGAGUGGGGUGAUGCCUCGUCUUCUAAGGUAUUGGGACUCGGCAAAGUUGUCAUUUCUCAUGAUCUCACGAUCGAGAAGGUCAUGCUAGUUGAGUCCCUUGCAUACAAUUUACUUUCCGUUCGUCAACUUGCUAUCAUGGGUUUUGCCACCUUCUUUGAUAUUGAUACCGUGGCCCUCUUGUGGAGCAAGACUCUUAAAGUAGCCUUUGUUGGGCAUGUCGAGAAUGGUCUCUAUGUGAUUAACUUUUCAAAGCGACCCACUAAGACCGCGACAUGCCUAAUGGCUAAAGUUGACGUGGGAUGGCUUUGGCAUCGCCGUUUAGCCCAUGUCAAUAUGAGAUCUUUGCAAAGUCUUCUCAAGGGGGACCAUGUCCAUGGACUAACGAACGUUAGUUUUUCCAAAGAUCGUGCUUGCAGUGCUUGUAUCGAAGGAAAGCUUCAUGAGAAGGCUCACCCUCCCACGACUCUUAUUUACUCGAAGAGGCCGUUGGAGCUCCUUCAUUUGGAUCUCUUUGGGCCUCCAUCCUUUGAUAGUCUUGGGGGUAGAAAGUAUUGCUUGGUAAUUGUGGAUUAUUAUUCUAGAUACACGUGGGUGUAUUUCUUCAAGAGGAAGAGUGAGACCCAACAAACAGUCAUUGACUUUGCAAAUGAAGCCCAACGUCAACACAAUGCAAAGAUCUUGACAAUAAGAAGUGACAACGGCACCGAGUUCAAGAACUACACCUUGGAUGAGUUUCUCAGUGAUGAGGGGAUCAAGCAUCAAUAUUCCGCACCUUACACCCCUCAACAAAAUGGUGUUGCGGAGAGGAAGAAUCGAACGUUGAUGGAUGCGGCAAGGACCAUAAUGGCGGAGUUCAAGUCUCCAUACAACUUUUGGGCCGAAGCCAUCAACACCGCGUGUCAUGCUUCAAAUCGGCUCUAUCUUCGCAAAGGCUUGAACAAGACACCAUAUGAGAUCCUCACCGGUAACAAGCCCAACCUCAAGUACUUUCGGGUGUUCGGGUGUAAGUGUUUCAUUCUCAAGAAAGGUGUUCGUUUGUCUAAAUUUGAGACUAGAGCUCAUGAGGGCAUAUUUGUUGGUUAUGCUACAAACUCCCAUGCUUACCGUGUUCUCAAUAAGUCCACGGGACUUAUUGAGGAGACGUGUAACAUGGAGUUUGAUGAAAAUAACGGCUCCCAAGUGGAGCAAAGUGGUACUUGUGAUGUAGGUGAUGAAAUUCCUCCCCAAGCCAUAAGAAGAAUGGGUAUUGGAUAUAUCCUACCCAUUGAGGAACCCCUUGUGGCCGAAGGAGAAGGACAAUGGUCCACUCAACUGGAGCCAUCACCAACCCAAGACCCACACGCUUCCGAAGAACAAAGUGAAGGCCCUCAACCUCAUGAACAAGAUCAAGGGCAAGAUCAACCUCAAGAUGGUGGUGAUCCACCAAAUGAUGCCCAAGGUCAAGUUCUUCCCCUCGAGCUAGUUCAAGAUCAAGAACAAGCUCAAGACGACGCUCAAGAUGAUCAAGUAACCCCUCCUCACUUCACUUUCGAGGAGGAAUUGGAGCGUCGUGCCGCUAAGAUCGCUUCCAAGCUCACCACCAAAGGUCAUCUCAUGGAGAAUGUGGUUGGAAGCCUAAGAAAGGGGGUAAGCACUCGUAGACAAUUAGCAAACUAUUGUGAACAUCAUGCGUUUGUUUCUUGUGUCGAACCCCAAAAGGUUUAUGAAGCGCUUGAGGACCCGGAUUGGCUCAACGCCAUGCAUGAAGAACUCAACAACUUCGAACAUAACCAAGUGUGGAAGUUAGUGCCAAGGCCAACCGGGAAUCAUAAUGUCAUUGGAACCAAGUGGAUAUUCAAGAACAAGCAAGACGCUCAUGGAAUCAUUGUUCGCAACAAGGCUCGUUUGGUGGCACAAGGCUACUCCCAAGUCGAGGGUAUCGACUACGGUGAAACCUUUGCCCCCGUUGCUCGCCUUGAAUCUAUUCGUUUGUUGAUUGCUUAUGCUUCUCAUCAUAAUUUCACUUUGCAACAAAUGGAUGUGAAGAGUGCUUUUCUUAAUGGUCCCAUAAAUGAGUUGGUAUAUGUCAAACAACCCCCCGGGUUCGAAGAUCCCUAUUUCCCCAAUCAUGUGUAUCAACUCCACAAGGAGCUCUAUGGCCUUAAACAAGCCCCACGUGCGUGGUAUGAGCAUCUUACGGAGUUGUUACAAGAUUGUGGAUUCGAAAUCGGGAAAAUCGACCCCACUCUUUUUACUAAGAAGGUCAAAGGGGAGUUGUUUGUGUGCCAACUAUAUGUUGAUGAUAUUAUUUUUGGUUCCCCUAACAAAGCUUUCAAUGAAGAAUUUGCCGCUCUCAUGACCCCAAAGUUCAAGAUGUCUAUGAUGGGAGAGUUGAAGUUCUUUCUCGGAUUCGAAAUCAAACAAAGAAGAGAAGGAACCUUCAUCAACCAAGCCAAAUACACUCAAGACAUGCUAAAGAGAUUCAAGCUAAGUGAUGUCAAGCCGGCUUCCACUCCAAUGCCCACCAAGUGCCAACUUGACAUUGAUCCCAAUGGUAAAGCGGUGGAUCAAAAGGUAUAUCGCUCUAUGAUUGGAUCCUUGCUUUACCUUUGUGCAUCUAGACCGGAUAUCAUGUUGAGUGUGGGAAUAAGUGCACGGUUUCAAGACGCACCUAAGGAAAGCCACUUUGUGGCGGUCAAGCGAAUCUUUCGAUAUUUGGCUCAUACCCCAAACUUUGGCCUAUGGUACCCAAGGGGAGCAAACUUCAAGCUUGUAGGUUAUUCGGACUCCGAUUGGGCGGGAGACAAAGUGGAUAGGAAGUCCACUUCCGGAGGGUGCCAAUUUCUUGGUUGCUCUUUGGUAAGUUGGUCUUCUAAAAAGCAAAGUUGUGUGUCUCUCUCGUCCACCGAAGCGGAGUAUGUGGCGGCCGGAAGUUGUUGUGCACAACUCUUAUGGAUGAGGCAAACUUUAAAGGAUUACGGUGUCAUUUGUGACAAAGUGCCUCUUUGGUGUGACAAUGAAAGUGCUAUCAAGAUUUCUCUCAACCCGGUGCAACACUUCAAGACAAAGCAUAUUGAGAUUCGGUAUCACUUCAUCUGGGAUCAUAUUAGGCGAGGGGAGAUCAAGCUCAACUAUGUCAACACUCAUGAUAACCUUGCAGAUAUUUUCACGAAGCCAUUGGAUGAAGCAAGAUUUCGCGAGUGAAGGCAUGAGCUAAAUAUCAUUGAUUCGAGCAAUGUGGUUUGAACCUUUGCACACCCCUCACAUUCAUUGUGCUUUCUUGUCUAGGUGUAGGCAUGGACGUAGGGGGAGUGUUGUUCUCUCAAUGAACUUUCCCUCCCCCCACAAUGCAUAAACUGAUCUCACUCUUUCACAUUAGCCAUUCUUGAUGGUACUUGUGCUUCAAAGACGAGCUUUGGUCAUGGGCCCAAGGAUAAUUCUUCGCGGUGCCAUACCAAGUGACUCAAACAUAGGUGGCCUCGGCCACCGCCCUCUCGUAUAGAGGCGUGUGAUUCUUGUUCUCUUGCUAGUGCUCUUGUUGGUCUUCUUGCCGUUGUUUCCCGUCUUUCGUUUUGCACCAUAUAUGUUGAGUCUGGUUUGAGUUGCGCUGGGCGGUACUACCGUUGUGCAGGAGCGGUACUACCGCUGGAGCGGUACUACCGCUCCAUGGAGCGGUACUACCGCUUAUACGGCUAAGCGGUACUACCGCCCCUCACCACGGUACUACCGCUGAGGGGCGGGGCCAGGGGGUUAAGUCAUGGGCAGGGGUGGUUUCCUCCACCCCAUACCCAUUUGCUUCAUCCCCUGGUUCCUCUUCCUCUCUCUCCAGCGCCAUCUCGCCGCGGGAAGGCUCCGGUGGCCCUCCGUCUCCGGACCAUUCCUCUCCAUUUCCUUCCGUGGAGUCGAUCCCCACCUCGUCCUCUUGCCAUGGAUGCCGGUAUUGCCCCCGUUCCUCUUCUCUUCUUGUCUAGUUUUUAGAUCUCGCGUUUUAGGGGCAAUAGUAGUUGCAUCUCUAGAUUUUUGGCCAAAUCUAGGCUUGAGUAGGUUGGAGAAGGCAACUAGACUCUUUGGAUUGAUGUUUGGUAGGUUUAUUUUUGAAUUUGGCAUCCCCGGUAGUGCCGGAUCUGACCACGGCAGUAGGGGUCCGCCGUGCCCCGUCUCGGGCGGUACUACCGCCCAUCUGGCACGGUACUACCGCUGGAGCGGUACUACCGCUCCACGGAGCGGUACUACCGCUUAUGUGGCUAAGCGGUACUACCGCUGAGCAGGCACGGUACUACCGCUGGAUGCCCAGUUCCAUUGUUUCCUACCACAUGUUGAUCCAUAUUUGUUGUGUUUAUUUGGUUUUGAUCGUUCCUUCUGGUUGUUUCUUGUGUCCGUGUGUUCGGUUCCAGGUGAUGAACAUCCUGAGCAGCAAGUCCGCCGUGUCAACCCCGGGCGUUCAACGUCGAAGCGGUACCGCUCAUCUGAGACUGCAGGUGGUUCUUCCAGUGCUCCACAGCCGGCAGGGGGUGCUUCCUCAAGUGCUAAUCCUCCUCGCAAGAAGAAGAUUGCCAGCCGACCGAAGCCAAGUGGCAAGAAAGUGACUGAGAUGUCUAGCAAGGAAUUCUGGGACAGGCGUCGGCGCAACCCCUAUGAGGAAGACCAAGAACCCAAUCUUGUCAAUCGCCCGUUCUGGAACCGGUUUCAGUAUGCCACAUACUUUGAUGUGAUCAAGGCUAAGAAGAAUCUCUUUGUCAAUGUUCAUUCCAUCAACACGGAUGCUAUGGAGAAGGACCUUGAGUACUUUGGUGAUGCCCUACAGAUGUGCUCUCAGUUGAACAUUCUCAGGAUCAUGCAGUUCAACAAGGACUUUGAUGCAGAUUUGCUGGCACAGUUCUUUGCCACUGUUCACCUAGGAACUGAUGCAGACAGGACUCUGACUUGGAUGACAAAUGGAAAGGUGCUAGCUGUCAAGUGGCAGGCCUUCAUGGGGCUGCUUGAGGUGGAAGAUCAAGGGCUCGAGACUCCAGUUGGUUUUCGUCCUCACCAAGAUGUCACCUCCACUCACAAGCAAGCCCUCUGGCCCUACUGUACUCGGAAGGUCCACCCUGAGACCAGGAAGGAAACCUAUGAGUUGUCUACCUAUCUGGACAUCCUUCACCGUAUCUUCCGCGAGACUCUCUUCCCUCGUAUUGGGAAUCUGGACAUGGUACACUCUUACCUUGUGGACAUGCUUCUCUUCUGCCAGCGUGAGAAGGACGCAAACACCGGCGAGUCCCUGGACAUCUCUCACGUCAUGUGGUCUGAGCUUCUGGCGCCUGUUUCUGAGCGCAAGUGCCCAAUUUAUGGUCCGUUCAUCAUGUUGCUUAUUGAGAGGGCCUGGAGACAUACCUAUCCUGAGGAGCAGCUGGAAACUGGAGAGUUGGUCUCUCAUGAGAUCAAGCGUCUGAGGAAGAAGGAUAAUUGGGGUAGAUCUGGAGCUCCAUCUUCUGCUGCUGCCAUGGAGACCGAGGACGAGGCUGAUGCCGGUGAUGAUGAUGAGGAUUAUGUGCCUCCUGGGACAGAGCCUUCUGCAGCAGAGCCCUCUUGGGCAAAGAAGCUCAAACGCAAGUUGAAGAAGCUGUUCUGCAUGGAGUCUCAUGGUCAGUACAUGACUCAUGUGGCUGAGAAGAAGGCAAGAGGACGUCACACGGAGCUGAUGCGUCAGAUGGGUGCGACAGUCACCAGCGGCUCUGAGGAUCAGAUUACAGAGGAGGAGGAGUGGAUCCAGCAGCACUGUCCGUGGACCAACUCAGAUGCCGAGCAGUUUCCGGGCGAGGACGGCAGUGCAGAUGAUCACGCAGAGUCCUGAUGUUCGAGAUCCUCAGCAUGCUCUCACCUGGAGCCGUAGGUUAGCUCUUUGCCCCUUUUGGUGUCUCGAUGCCAAAGGGGGAGAGAGUUUAGGGAUUUGCGUCGUUGUGUUGCGAGUGUGUCUUUGCUUUUGUGCUUUCGUUAUGUGCUACUUUGUGCUUUUCUUGGACCUUGUGCUUUGCUUGGUUUUGUGUUCAGUGAGACUUUAGUUCGAGUCAUAUGGUGUGAGACAUAUGCUACCCUAUCAUUAUCAUAUCUUUAUCUUUGUCUCUAGUCAUUUGAUAUCUCAUGAGUUAUAUGCUUCAUUAUGUUAUAUAUCCUGCUAUCUUGUAUCUCGCUUAGGUUGUUGGUCUCUAAAAUACAGGGGGAGUGUUGAUCCUAGUAUGUGUGUCGUGCAGUUCAAAGCACUUAUCUUGAUGGCACACAUCUAGGGGGAGCCCGUCCAUAUUUUAGAGAUUUGGGGUUUGCUUAUGUCCUUUGUUUUUUCCCAGUUGUGCAAAUCUCGUAUUGUCAUCAAUCCACCAAAAAGGGGGAGAUUGUAAGGGCAUAUUUAUCCCUAAGAUGUUUUGGUGAUUGAUGACAAUGCUUUUGCGGACUAAUCGUGUGCGUUGAGUGUUUUUCAGAGAUUCAUCCUUUUGGCACGAGACGAUUUCCUCCCCUCGGAGCUUAAAGCGAAGACGGUGUAGUCCUUUCGGAUUAGUUUGGUGGACUAGUUUCAUAGGGAUCACCGUACUAUCAAGAGGGUGUCCGUUUUGGAAAGGCUAGGGCGGAAUCAUCACGUACACUUCCUUUGCCCCUCCCUCCGAGCCUUUCCGUUUCGAUGAUGGGCUUGGUUCUCCUCUCUUUGUGCCCUCUCUGGUCCCAGCGGUAGUACCGCGGGCCAGAGCGGUAGUACCGCUUGGGUGCUACAAGCGGUAGUACCGCUCUGGAGCGGUACUACCGCCCUGGAGCGGUAGUACCGCUCUGGAGCGGUACUACCGCCCAGAGCAGUAGUACCGCUAGUAGCCCCCAUGUGUGUACUAACUCUUGUCCCAGCGGUGGUACCGCGGGACGGAGCGGUAGUACCGCUUGGGUGCCUCAAGCGGUAGUACCGCUCUGGGCGCGGUAGUACCGCUCCAGAGCAGUAGUACCACUAGUGGCCCCAAGCCGUAGUACCGCGGUGGUCUCAUGCUAGUACCGCCUCGAUUCGAGGGCUCCUUUUUCGUGUCGAGUUUUACGGUACUGGCCGCGGCUGUGAGGGGCCAUAGUACCGCUCCUGUGCGGUAGUGCCGCCCACCCUCCGCGGUAGUACCGCUGUGGGCCAAGCGGUAGUACCGCGUUGUGUAGCAGUAGUACCACUUAUAGUGGCAAGCGGUAGUACCGCUGGCACAGCGGUACUACCGCUCUCUUUGGGGCAGAAGGGGGGUAACGGUUGGUUUGUUCCCCCCACUAUAUAAAGGGGUCUUCUUCCCCAAAGUUCACCUCACCUCUUCCCCCAAAAAGCUCCAUUGUUGCUCCAAGCUCCAUUUUCGCCCGAUCUCUCUCCCUAGCCAAUCAAACUUGUUGAUUUGCUCGGGAUUGGUUGAGAAGGCCACGAUCUACACUUCCACCAAGAGAAAUUUGAUUCCCCCCACUUAUCCCUAGCGGAUCUUGUUACUCCUGGGUGUUUGAGCACCCUAGACGGUUGAGGUCACCGCGGAGCCAUAGUCCAUUGUGGUGAAGAUUUGUGGUGUCGUUGGGAGCCUCCAAUUAAGUUGUGGAGAUUGCCCCAACCUUGUUUGUAAAGGUCCGGUCGCCGCCUUCAAGGGCACCAAUAGUGGAAUCACGGCAUCUCGCAUUGUGUGAGGGCGUGAGGAGGAUACGGUGGCCCUUGUGGCUUCUUGGGGAGCAUUGUGCCUCCACACCGCUCCAACGGAGACGUACUUCCCUUCAAAAGGAAGGAACUUCGGUAAGACAUCCUCGUCUUCACCGGCUCCACUCUUGGUUAUCUCGUUCCUUUACUUUAGCUAGUUUACUUGUGUUAUAUCUCUUACUUGCUUGCGUGCUUGUUGUCGUUGCAUCAUAUAGGUUGCUCACUUAGUUGCAUAUCUAGACAACCUAUUUUGAUGCAAAGUUUAAUUUGGUAAAGAAAAGCUAAAAAAAUUGUUAGUUGCCUAUUCACCCCCCCCCCCUCUAGUCAACUAUAUCGAUCCUUUCACCCGGAAGCUCUUUUGGAAAGACAUCUUGAUACUCACAAACGACUGGAAUCUGAGAGAUGGCAUUCAAUUCGCCCUUCUCAUUGAGAGAAAACAACCGAAUGGUUUCAUCACGAGCGGCAUAAAUGAUAACAUCCUCAGAAGAGUGUGUCAAUUGAAUUUCCCUGGCAGCACAAUCAAGUUGAGCCUUGUGCUUAGAAAGCCAGUCCAUCCCGAGAAAAAGAUCAAUAUCCGAGUCACCAAGAACAACUGGAGAAGACAGAAAUUUAUAGUUCCCCAUCUUGAUGGAAACAUCCGGAACCACCAAACUAGAACUCAAACGUUUACCCGGAGAAACGACAUCCAUGGGUUUACUCAGAUGAGAACAAGUGAAUUCAUGCUUGGCAAAAAACGGUCUUCACAUGAAACAAAGCGAAGCACCAGUAUCAAAUAAGACUUUUGCAGGAAUAUCAUUAACUGGAAGAUUACCCAUUAUCACAUCAGUAGACUCCUCUGCUUGAGCUGCAUUCAUCAUGUUCACCUUUGCAGACUUUGGAUUAUGCUUGACCACUGCAUUGCUGGAAGAUCUGACAGGAGGAGGAGGCGGAAGGCGCCUUUGGUUGAAGCACUUGUUAGCAUAGUGACCUUUCUGCUGACACUUGUUGCAAGUCACCUCUGAGAGUGUACGGUGAUAAGGAGCAUUGGACUUUGGAGCUUGAUUCUGAGACUUGUUCUGAUAGCCAGAGUUGGAAGAGUUGGAAGAACCAUGGCCACCUUUGUUCUUCUGCUGGUAAGGCUGACGAAACGGAGGAGGAGGAGGCAACCAGAACUUCUGUUGCUUAGCAGCCACUAGUGAGGAAGAAGAAGACUGAACUGCGUCCCUGACUCUCUUCUUAGAAGCCUCACACUUGAGUUGAGCAGCCUCUUGCUUCAGUGCCAUGUUAUAGAAUUGAUCAAACUGAGUAGGCUCAACAAGAACGAGAGCUAACUGCAUAUCCUCUCUAAGGCCACCUCUGAAGUGAUAGAUCAUGCUCUUUUCAUCAGGAACGUCUUGUUUAGCGAAGCGAGCAAGUUUCUGAAACUGAAUGUUGAAUUGAUACACAGACAUGUUGCCUUGCUUGAGAUUGCGGAACUCCUCACGCUUGCUCUCAACAACACUUUGUGGAAUGUGGUGAGCUUUGAAAUCCCGACAGAAGUCAGUCCAAGUGAUCACACGACCUCCUCUAGAAUCUUUGUAUUGUUGAUACCAAUCAGCAGCUUGGUCCUUGAGCUGAAAAGAAGCGAACUUGACAUAGUCCUCAGGCCUGACAUUGCUACAUUCAAAAUGCUUGUUGAUGUCCACGAGCCAAUCAUCGGCAUCCGUGGCCUCGGCACAGUAGCUGAAAGACUUGGGCUGAUUUGCGAGAAACUGGUUGAGAGUAGCAAAGUGAGACUGAUUGUUGCCUUGAUCUUGAUUUCCUUGAUUGCCUUGCCCUUGGGUGCGUUCUUGCAAGAGUUGCAGAAUCAUCUGAGCAUUGGCGUUGGUGGCUGCCAUGAUAGCUUGCCAUGCCUCCGGAGGCGGAGGUGGUGGCGGAGGGUUCGCCUGACUUCCUUCAUUGCGAUCCGGAUUCUGACGCGUUGGCGGAGCCAUCCUGAAGAGGGUGACAUCCGUUAGCAUCUUGAUAGACAAAUAGAUAAGUAGAAUCAACGGAUAGAAAUUGCAACAUAUGGUCUUCACAAUAAACAUUCGAACGAGGAUGAACGAAUGAAUUCCGUAGUAAAACAUCACACUUCCAUUAAGUUGAGAAGCCACUUGGAAAAAAAAGGUAUGGAAUCAACAUUUGACUUCGAAGCAACUCGAAUACCACAAUUGAAAACAAAACAAAGUAUUGGCUUGCAGAAUAAGCCGGAACAAACAUAUGACAGAGAUUUCGUCCGAAGUUUUCAUGGUGGGGCCCACACGGGCUCGAUCGUACAGCACCAUCACGUAAAAGGCUGUGCACAUGACAUACGAAGCGUCCCCGAGUCGGCAUAGCCAAGGACUCUUUAAGACACUACGAGACCACUGUAAAACCAACCGUGGAAAGGCGGACCACUAGACGUCGAACCCCAAUCUCAUAUCAUGCGUCUGUCGGAAAGAUAUCCUAAGAGCUACUUGAAUUCCCACUUAUAAACUCCCGAAACUUUCUGGUUAUGCAAUCUGGUGUUGGGGAUACAAGGGACACAAAAUAUAUCACCCAAACUAGCAAUCCCUAGAUCCAGCUGUAUCCAUCCGUCAACACAUAACCAAGAAACCUUCGGAAAUCGUGUACCUCAACCUUCGAAAAGCAUCCGUUAUACGAGUUAUGGCAAUACUCCCAAACUCCCGCCCCAGUACUGGGUGGCGUCGAGGUGAUCUCACCAACAACUGCAUAAAAGAGAUUUCGAUGUCGGCGAAACUCAGGUAUUCCAGAACUGCAACGAUAAAAUUGUGACGACAACACCUCGGAGCUCAACUCCCCGGGACACUGCCACAACCCCUAAAUGUCAGGAGGCACCAAGAACAAUGUUCUCGUCACAAAACCAUCGGAACGAUUCCAAGAUACCCGCGUCAUCCUAAAAAAAAAUUAGUGAAAUUUGAGGAGAGAAGAGUCAAAACUUCUACGUCAGGAGGCCUCACCAGAGCGACGAAGGGACUGAGGAGUAAAAAGAAUCCUACUCUCCGAUAUAUAUAAUCCUAAGACUCAAAACAUUUUUGUUCUAGACUCAACAACGCCAGCGAUUCGAUCAAGCAGGGGGCUCCUAAGUCGGGGAUGGCUCUGAUUACCAACUUGUAACGCCCACGAUGCGGCUAUAUCUCCCACGUGUCGAGGCACGACUUAGAGGCAUAACCGCAUUGUGGUUUUGUCGCAAGAAGGGUCAUCUUCACACAAUCCCAUGUAAUGAACAAGAAUGGGAUAAAGAGUUGGCUUACAAUCGCCACUUCACACAAUACAUAAAUAUAAUUCAUACAUCAUCCAAAAUACACACAUAGACCGACUACGGUCAAGAUCCAAAUGAAAAUAAGAUAACCCCAAAUGCUAGAUCCCCGAUCGUCUCAACUGGGCUCCACUACUGAUCAUCAGGAAAAGACACAUAGUAACGACCACGUUCCUCAUCGAACUCCCACUUGAGGUCGAUCUCAUCAACUGCACUGGCAUCGUCGGCACCUGCAACUGUUUUGGUAGAAUCUGUGAGUCACGAGGACUCAGCAAUCUCACACGCGCGAGAUCAAGACUAUUUAAGCUUAUAGGUAAGGAUGGUGAAAUGGGGUGGAGCUGCAGCAGGCACUAAGCAUAUAUGGUGGCUAACAUACGCAAAUGAGAGCGAGGAGAGAAGCAACGGAACGGUCGUCAACUAGCAAUGACCAAGAAGUGAUCCUGAACUCCUACUUACGUUCAUGCAUAACUCAAACCGUGUUCACUUCCCGGACUCCGCCGAGAAGAGACCAUCACGGCUACACACACAGUUGAUGUAUUUUAAUUGGGUCAAGUGGCAAGUUCUCUACAACCGGACAUUAACAAAUUCCCAUCUGCCUCAUAACCGCGGGCACGGCUUUCGAAAGAUAAUACCCUGCAGGGGUGUCCCAACUUAGCCCAUUAUAAGCUCUCACGGUCAACGAAGGAUAAACCUUCUCCCGGAAAGACCCGAUCAGUCUUGGAAUCCCGUUUUACAAGACAUUUCGUCAAUGGUAAAACAAGACCAGCAAAGCCGCCCGAAUGUGCCGACAAAUCCCGAUAGGAGCUACACAUAUCUCGUUCUCAGGGCACACCAGAUAAGUCAAGCUACGAGUAAAACCAGACCUCGAGUUUCCCCGAGGUGGCCCCGCAGGCUGCUCGGUUCGGACCAACACUCGAAGGAGCACUGGCCCCGGGGGUUUAAAUAAAGAUGACCCUCGGGCUCGCGAAAACCCGGGGGAAAAAGGCUUAGGUCGCAAAUGGUAAAACCAAGGUUGGGCCUUGCUGGAGGAGUUUUAUUCAAGGCGAACUGUCAAGGGGGUCCCAUAAAUCACCCAACCGCGUAAGGAACGCAAACUCAAGGAACAUAAUACCGGUAUGACAGAAACUAGGACGGCAAGAGUGGAACAAAACACCAGGCAUAAGGCCGAGCCUUCCACCAUUUACCAAAUAUAUAGAUGCAUUAAUCAAAUAAGAGAUAUUGUGAUAUCCCAACAUAUCCAUGUUCCAACAUGGAACAAACUUCAACUUCACCUGCAACUAGCAACGCUAUAAGAAGGGCUGAGCAAAAGCGGUAACUUAGCCAAACAACGGUUUGCUAGGAAAAGAUGGUUAGGGGCUGACAUGGCAAUAUGGGAGGCAUGAUAUAGCAAGUGGUAGGUAACGCAGCAUGGCAAAAGAACGAACAACUAGCAAAGCAAAAAUAGAAGUGAUUUCGAGGGGUGGUCAUCUUACCUGCAAGGUUCUCAGAGUUGUCGAAAGCUUGAUCCUCAUAAGCGUACUCAACAGGUUGCCCGUUCACGAACUCGUCUCCCGGCUCUACCCAAGACAAGAACACAAGCAAUGGAACCACAAUCAAUCACGGUAACUGCACAAGCAACAUGAUGCAAAACAUGAAUGAUAUGCAAGAUAUGAUAUGCGGUGCAUGUGCGUGCUCCGGAAGGAAAAUGAUGGACAAGGCAGUAACUUGACAAACCAAGCAUGCCACUGGAAAUAUGAGAUGAUUUCGGUUGAAAUCGAUAUAAAGAUCACCGGAAACGGAUGCACGGUUUGCAAAUGGCAAGCAAAACAAGAAUGACACGAAUCUGCAAUUAACAGCAUGAUAGCACUUAGAAUGCAAUAGGUAACAAUGCUACAGCACUCCAACGUAGCAAAAAAGCAUAUGGCAGUAAUCUACCGGAGAUGCUUGACAAAAGAUGAACACUGAGAUACGGCUAGAUCACACCACAGCAGGUUCAAACAAGCAUGGCAAAAGUGCAAAAGAUAACAGGUUCACAGACUUUGUGAAAUUACUGGACAUGACUGAAACAGCAUCCGGUAGCAAUGUUCAGAGCACGAAAUCAACAUGCUACAGGAACUUAACAUGGCAAAACAAGGCAUGGCAGUGUUCUACUAAAUGCAUAUGACAAAAGUCCCUUACUGACCAUAAGCCAAAAAGGACCAGAAGAUAUAAUGGCAACCAUGCAAACAUAGCAAGUUUCGUUAACAGGUUUCAGACUUAGCAGAAAACAGAGCAUGGCAGAAACAACAAUAUGAAGGCAUCUUGGUGAGCUUGACGCACUCACUACAGAGCAAUGCAUGACAAAACAAGCAUACCAACAGCAAGAUGGCAUGUUUAUGAAGCUAUCCAUGGCAACAUAAAAUACAUACCAUGUAUGAAACAACUAGAACAAGCUUGGCAAAAUUGCAUAUCAUGUAAACAAUCUGCCAGAAAUAUUUUAUAGCAAAAGUAGAGCAAGAUUGAGUCAUGCUAUGGCACUCCAUAAUUGCAAACAAGGGUAGUAAUGGAUCAAUUACAACAAUACCUACAAAACAUCCUUACUGAACAUCUCCAAAAUAUGCAUGGAUCUCUCUGUAGCAUCAAGUUUACAUGGCAACAAAAUAACAGCAGACAAAGACUUGGAGGAAUUACUAAGUCCCUGAAAUCAGAAACAUUACGGAGCCUAGUGUGCAUGCUUGUGCUAGUCACCACAGAGAUCAUAAAAAUACAUGGCAUACACCACUGGAAAGAUGGCAUGGCAUACAACAAAACACAUGUAGAGCUCAUGCCCAUAAGAUGCACAGAUUAAAUGCAACAAAAAUAACAAAUCCUCAAGUUCUGCUAAGUAACAGCAGAUAACAGCAAGUAGCACUCUUGCACCAGAGAUUUGGGCAUCAAGAUGAGCUCAAAUGAACCUGGUGCAAUGGAACAAAAUUAAGAGCAUCACGAGGCGAACAUUUUGAUAUAUUACACGCGCGAAAUAGAGCUAUAUGCAGAGAGUUAUGAUGCUAUGAAGAUGGGCACAUACUGUAAAAUUAUAAGGACUUGGGAUUUUCGGGGAGAGGUGAAAAAGUCGACCCGUUCUCAGAUCCGAUCGGGGCCGGCUCGGUUUCGACGGUGGCCGGAGCUGGGCUGCUGCCGGCGGCGGCGCGGAGGAGGAGGAGGCGCCGGGGCACGGGGGAGAUGGCGGCGAGGAGGAAGGAGGACGGCGGCGAGGGCGGCGGUGCNNNNNNNNNNNNNNNNNNNNNNNNNNNNNNNNNNNNNNNNNNNNNNNNNNNNNNNNNNNNNNNNNNNNNNNNNNNNNNNNNNNNNNNNNNNNNNNNNNNNNNNNNNNNNNNNNNNNNNNNNNNNNNNNNNNNNNNNNNNNNNNNNNNNNNNNNNNNNNNNNNNNNNNNNNNNNNNNNNNNNNNNNNNNNNNNNNNNNNNNNNNNNNNNNNNNNNNNNNNNNNNNNNNNNNNNNNNNNNNNNNNNNNNNNNNNNNNNNNNNNNNNNNNNNNNNNNNNNNNNNNNNNNNNNNNNNNNNNNNNNNNNNNNNNNNNNNNNNNNNNNNNNNNNNNNNNNNNNNNNNNNNNNNNGGCGGCGCGGGACACGUGGCGGAUGCGGGGUGGCUGCGGGAUCCGUCCGGCGGCGACCGGACGUGUCCGGCGGCGGCGGGGAAAAAUGCUAGGGUUUGAUCUGCGUAUUAUUUCGGGAGGGGAGGCAUAUAUAUAGGUAGAGGGAGCUAGGAGGCUCCAAAUAAGGUGCGGUUUUCGCCCACACGAUCGUGAUCGAACGACCUAGAGCAUGGAAGAGAGUUUGGUGGGUUUUGGGCUGUUUAGAGAGGGGUUUUUGCUGCCCACACAAACGGACAUUGCGGUUACCCGGUUAACCGUUGGAGUAACAAACAACCUCCAAAUAGAACGAAACUUGACCGAUGGCCUACCGGUGGUAUACCAAGGCCACUUGACAAGCCUCGAUCCAUUCCGAGAACGUUUGACACCCGCUCACAAAAGAAAAACAAGAGGGGUGCGCCGGAGGAGGUAGGAGUGCCGGAUUGCAAAACGGACAACGGGGAAAAUGCUCGGAUGCAUGAGACGAACACGUAUGCAAAUGCAAUGCACAUGAUGACAUGAUAUGAGAUGCAUGACAUGAACAAAAUGCAAAACGAAAAACAAAACCCGACCACGAAGGGAAUAUCAUAACACAUGGCCAAAAAUGGCACGAGUCGGAAUUACAAAUAUGGAAAGUUACAUCCGGGGUGUUACAUAGAGUUGUAGCAGUCCAGGAUGAGGAGGGUGGGGUUACACAUGUUGCAAAGGAGACUGAUGAGAAGGAGGAAGAGUACGCACUGCGGUGUGGGGAAUCAGUUGGCGAAGACAAAGAUGAGAUUCGCACAUCGGCGGCCCCGAGGAGGAGGACCGCCGGGCCAAAUGAAAAUACUAGGCUGGAACUGCUGUGGUAUGCUCUCCAACACGGCAGUUCGUGAGCUUCUAGAUCUACAGAAGCGUACAAGGGCAAAUUUAAUUUUCCUUUCUGAAUCCCAUUUGAAUAAUUGUAAAGCCGAUGAGCUUCGUCACGUAUUAGGUUUUGACUCUAUGUUUGUAGUGGAAAGUGAUGGUAAGGCUGGUGGCCUCGCUUUGUUUUAUCAUGAGUCCAAUAAAAUUGAGUUGAACUAUGUCUCGCCCCAUUUUAUUGAUAUUGUUUUUAUGUAUGAGAAUGUGGUUCGGUGGCGGUUCACGGGCUUCUAUGGUCACCCGAAAUGAAAUGAACAACAUCUAUCUUGGGAUGACAUUCGCAAUUUACAUAGUAAGAGCAACCAUCCUUGGGUGGUUUUGGCGGAUUUUAAUGAAAUUUUAUAUCCCUCGGAAAGAGGGUGGUGUAGCUAGACCACUUGGUAUGAUGAGAGAGUUCCGUGAAUGCCUAAUGGAUUGUGGGCUGGAAGAUCUAGGCUAUAAGGGGGACAUAUUCACUUGGAGGAGAGGCGAAAUACGUGAGCACCUUGAUCGGGCAGUUUGUAACUUAGCAUGGGCAAACAAAUUUCCACGAGCGGCAACUAUCAAUGAAGAAUAUGUUCAUUCUGACCAUCGCCCAAUUGUACUGGAUAUGGAGUAUUGGGAUGAAAAAAUAUUUAAAAGCCCAAAGGGGCGUGUUAAACAAUUUGAGGCGAGAUGGUUGAAGGAAGAGACGGUCACUGAAAUCGUUAAGGCAUCUUGGGAGAAAGCAAAGCUAGCAGGUAUUGGACCCUCACUUGCUGACAGAACGAGAGCAGUGCAUGCCAAUCUACAUACUUGGGACCAGGAAACGCUAAAGGGACCAGAGGUGAGAAUUAGAAAAUUAAAAAAAGAGUUGGAGAGACUAAGGCGUGGCCCAUUGAAUACGGAAUCUCGAUGUCGUCAGAAGGAAAUUAUUGUGCUAAUUGAAAAUAUUUUGGAGCAAGAGGAAAUAUUCUGGUUAUAAAGAGGACAGGCAAAUUGGUUGAUGCAUGGGGAUCGUAAUACGUCGUUCUUUCAUAAUGCUGCCACAGCCAGGAAAAAAAGAAAUAAUAUAAAGAAACUAUUAGACGAGUCUGGAAACUGGUUAACAGAUAAGGAAUUGACGAAUCAUAUUACUGGAUAUUUUACAAAGCUUUUUACAUCGGAAGUUCAACACCCGAAUCAAGAUGUUUUAUCACUUGUUCGAAGGAGAGUGUCAAACGAAAUGAAUGAUGCUCUACUUGCCCCUUAUACUGCGGAAGAUGUUCGCAAGGCUUUAUUCGAUAUUGGGGACUUGAAAACUCCAGGGCCAGAUGGACUCCAUGCUAUCUUCUAUAAAAGGUUUUGGCCCAUGAUGGGGGAAGAAUUAAUUGAGGAGGUUCUGAUAGCAAUCAACACAUGCACUAUACCGAAGGGUUGGAAUGAUACGGCGAACGUGAUGAUUCCUAAAAUUAAUACACCAGAGAAGGUAAUCCAAUUUAGGCCGAUCAGCUUAUGUAAUGUGCUAUAUAAAAUAAUUGCAAAAAUGGUGGCUUCUCGAUUGAAGGUUUUUUUACGAGAAAUUAUUAGCCCAACACAGAGUGCAUUUGUACCGGGUAGAUUGAUAAUGGAUAAUAUUUUAGUGGCCUACGAAUGUUUUCACACAAUCAAGAAUAAAAGAGAGGGUAGAGAGGGCUUGUGUGCUAUAAAACUUGAUAUGCACAAAGCCUACAAUAGAGUUGAGUGGACUUUUUUGAAGAAGAUUAUGUUGAAAUUGGGUUUUCGUCGUGAGUGGGUUAAUGUGAUUAUGCAAUGCGUCUCAACCGUAGAAUACAAAGUAAGGAUCAAUGAAGAGGAAAGUGAGAGAUUUAAGCCUACGAGAGGGUUGAGACAGGGGGACCCGCUAUCACCUUACCUUUUUUUGUUGUGCACAGAAGGAUUGAAUGCCUUGCUUGCGCAUGCUGAGGAGAAUGGAAACAUUUCAGGAGUUAAAGUCUGUAGAGACACCCCGCCAGUCAUAAAUCUUCUCUUUUGCGGAUGACUCAUUGAUCUUAAUGAAAGCCAACCAACAUAAUGUGGAAAACCUGAAAUCAGCACUAGAUUUAUAUUGUGCGGCGUCGGGACAGCUGGUAAGCAUUGAAAAAUCCAGUAUUUUCUUCAGCCCUAAUACAAAGGUAGAGAUCAGAGAACAAUUGUGUACAACGCUAAAUAUAAUGACGGAGGCUCUCACUGAUAAAUAUUUUGGCUUACUAGCAAAUGUGGGUGUUGAUAAAACAGACUGCUUUAGUUUUCUGAUUGAACGUAUUGUUAAGAGAAUUAGUGGUUGGAAGGAAAAAUUACUAUCUUCCGGGGGGGAGGAGAUCCUAUUAAAGGCGGUGAUCCAAGCCAUACCUACCUAUGCACUGUCGGUCUUUAAAAUUCCUAAAAAAUUGUAAAGGAAUCAUUGACGCGAUGUCACAUUCUGGUGGGAAGACGAGGAGAACCAGAAGAGGAUGCAUUGAAUGGCCUGGUGGAAAAUGUGUGUACCAAAAUACCAAGGAGGAAUGGGAUUCCGUGACAUCCACUAUUUCAACCUGACUCUGCUUGCAAAACAGGCAUGGCAUCUCCUUGAUAAUCCUGACUCCUUGUGCGCUACUAUUCUAAGGGCCAAGUAUUAUCCUAAUGGUGAUUUGCUGAACUCCAAGCCAAAGCACGGUGCUUCCUUCACCUAGCAAAGCAUUAUGGCAGGCAUCAGUACUCUCAAGCGAGGUUAUAUUUGGCGAGUGGGGGAUGGACAAAACAUCAAUAUUUGAGAAGAUGUCUGGAUCCCAAAUUGUGCCACUAGGAAGAUUGUGACCCCUAGGGGCGCAUUUGUUAUCAAAAGUCGUAGAUUUGAUUGACCCGGUCUCCAAUAAUUGGGAUGAGGACCUGAUUAGACAAACUAUGUGGACCAUUGACGCACAACGGAUUCUUUUAAUUCCAAUUUCGCAACAUAAUAUGACAUAUUUUAUUGCCUAGAGUUAUACGAAAAAUGGUAUGUUUUUGGUACGGUCUGCUUACUCUGUGGAGUGGAACUAUCAGUAUGGGAGCAAACUAAAAUAUUCUAACGGGAUGGGACGGAGCACACCUAACCCUAUAUAGUGUCAGAUAUGGAAGUUAUCUUGUCCGGCUAAAGUCAAAAAAAAUUAUGCCGGACACUACAUGGCACUCUCCCAUGUCAGGCAACACUCACUAAUACACACAUGAAGGUCUCGUCCUCUUGCCCUACCUGCUCUCAGGGUGUAGAGGAUACGAAGCACUUGCUUUUCCUAUGUAGAAAAGCAAAGGAGGUUUGGAAAAGGCUAGGGUUGGAUAUGAUUAUUGAGAGAGCUUGUGAGAUUGAUCGUGCUGGAGAGGCAACAAUGGAAUACCUAUUACUCCUUCCACAUCAAGAUCUACGCAUUAUGGGGUACGAAAAUAUUCGAGAAAUGAUACUAUCUCAGCUUAGUAUCUAUGGUGGGAAAGACGGAAAUUAGUGCACAAGGAAUUAACUCAAAAUGCGACCCAGAUCUCAAUGGGGAUCAUAGCUCUUACAUAUAAUUUUGUAAAUGCAUAUCUUCAAAGGCGUCCAUGAAAAAGGGGGGGUUGGCAAUGUCCUUCUAGGGGCUUUGUGAAACUCAAUGUUGACGCCUCUUUUGACCAUGACUUGCUGGAGGGUACGAUGGGGAUAGUAUUGAGAGACGACAAAGGUAAGUUUAUUGCAGAGGGGAAUGGAAAGAUAAACUACUGCGCGGAUGUUCUCAUGGCGGAGGCCUUAGCUCUCAAAUUUGGCCUAAAUUUAGCGCAAAGGGCGGGAUGUAAUCGUCUAAUCAUCAACUCUGACAAUCUGGAGGUGAUUGAGACCAUGCAGGACGGAGGACAGUCAGCGAGAGCGGCGGCGGCAAUCUUCGAUGACUGCUAUCACUAUGCUUGUGAUUUUAUCAUGACUAAAUUCAAACAUUGUAAUAAAGAGGCAAAUAAAGUAGCACAUGAACUUGUUAGAUUAGCUAGAUUUUUUUCUGACUUCAGACUGGUUUGAGGAGUCUAUUAGUGAAAUUGUAACGUUUCUCACAAAUGAUGUAUUGGUUAUUGCUAAUGAAUAAAAUUUCGUUUUAUUUCAAAAAAAAAAGGCUGCCAAUGUAGCGACUGUGGUAGAAUCGCUUUUACUCUUGCACUUAAAGGCGGCUAGCUCAUCUCAAGAAAAAGAAAAAAAGGCAGCUACCUGGCAAAGCCAGAACUGGUCCUAGUUAACUAUGGAUGGAUGGAGGUGUAUCUCCGGCGGAUCUAUCUUUGAUGGAUUUGCUCGGAUCUCGUUGGUGUUCGUCUACGUUCGUGUGUCUUUGGAUUGGAUCCUUCCGAUCUACUCCCUCCGUUCGGAAUUACUUGUCUCGAAAAUGGAUGUAUCUAGAACUAAAAUACGUCUAGAUACAUCCAUUUCUGCGACAAGUAAUUCCGAACGGAGGAAGUAUGUUAUUCUUCAUCUGCGGCGAUUGCUGUUCUGGUGUGCUGGUCCUAUGGGGCCUUAGCACGACGACUUCCCAACUGUCUACUACAACAAGUUGUGUCCGACACUGACGAUGGAGGGGCGAUGACGGCGGCGCGCCUUCGGCUCGCUUCAGUGCUUGUAGUCGUCGCUAGCUGGUCUACGGAUCUGGAUGUAAUUUUUAUUAUUUUUGAUAUUCAUUGUACUGUCAUGAUUGAAGAUGAAUAGAUCGGAAGAUUUCUAAAAAAAACUAUGGAUGGAUAAAUAUCAUAUGUAGCAUGUGCUGGAAACGUCGGUAGGUUCCUUCCUUCCUUCCUUGGCCUGUCCAGCUAAUUGCGUCGUCAACGUUGUGCGGCGAUGCGUUGGAGCAUUCUAUAAUUCGUCUUCUCCCUUCUACUUCCCACCAACAUCAAUCAUGGACUCGUGUCCUUUUCCAUCCACCUGUUUGGCGUAUUACCACCGCACGUGAGCUGUCCUCCGUGUCAUGGUUAUCAUCUUACGCGCGGAAGGAUGUCCAUUCAUUUAGUCAGCCCAUGCGAAAUUCAACGUAAAUGCAAGUAGCAGAGUUACCAUAUUUGCAGUCGUUACAUGCAAGUAUGCAACAGGCUUGGUAAUAUUUUGGAGGCUGGCGAGGUGAUGUGGGGAAACUCGCUCAGAGUCAUCAUUUCUCAUCCUUGGAAACAUUUCUUCUUCUUUUUAUUUAAACACUUUGAUUAAAGAUUUGCAAUAUUUUAAAAUUAGUCAUGCACAUAUCUUCAGCAAGUUACAUGAACAAAGCAUUAAACCAACAUGUACAAGUCCGAUGUGUGCACCUUGCUCCCCUUCGAUGGCAAGUGACACCGCUAGGAGGAGUGUGCCUUACUUGAUCCAAACAACCUGCCAGCGGUUGCGCAUAUUUUGUAUGCCCCAUCGAUUUGUAAGAAAUUUGAUAAUAUGGUCCGUUUGAUACCUUUCAAUAUUUUGCAUUCGUUUGAUCUUUCUCAGUAACCAUGUCAAGAGUAGUCUCUUGAAUCAUGCCCCCACACACAUAGAAGACUUUUUCUACUUCAUUGACAAUUCUCCUCCCAGCUCUGGUGUGACUUAAUUGGUUAUACCUGGCAAUGGCGGGUUCUUUGCGUCGUUACCCUGAUGGCGGCAUUGCUCAGAGUUUGCUUAGAUUGGAUCUCCAGGGUGAAAACCCACGAUCCGCGUGGUUAUUGGAUCUGGCGACAGCGACGCUUUGUGUCGUUUCCUUCUUGAAGGCGUUGCUUUUGGAGAACCCUUCUCGCAGUCCUUGGGAUGUCAAAAGAUGGUUGGCACCGAUGGUUACUGUUGUAUAUCGUCAAUUGUUGUUUUCCUUGCUUCAUUUUUUUUCUUCCUCCGCCUAGGCAUAGCAUUGGUCUUUGUAUGACUUUGCACUCUGCCGGGGUGGUUAUUCAUGUGUGUGCUGUGUUGACUGUGUGCAUCCUAAUUAUGCAGAGGCCAGGUGUGUACUCAUUAUGAUUAUAUCCCUCGAUGCUACUCUAUGAGUCAAUAUAAAACACCCUUUAUCGAAAAAAUAUCGAACUCUAUUGCAUACGAGUACUCUAUUGAAUUUAACUGUUUUGUACUGUUUUUGUGGCACUACCCGGUGUAUAGGAGCAAGCAUUUAUUUCACUCAGAUUAUUUUAUUUUUUCAUCACACGGCCAAUUCUCCCAUACUUUUAGUCCGAUUUUAAAAUUUGUAACACUUUUAACUUUGAACUAAUGAUUUGAUUUAGAAUCCAUUUGCAGAUUCAUGUCCAUGUCAUUUAAAUCUCUAAAACAAGAUCAAACUUGAACAUGUUCUGAACAAGUUUAAAUUCAAAUCUGAUGCCAUAAUGAAACUUAUAUGAAAUGUGAGACGAUACGACAAUGAAACCGGAGUGAACCAAUAAUGAAAACAUGCAAUAGAUAAUGUAAUGAACCAUAAUAAAACUUAUAUCAAGCUUGAGAUGAAACAUGGAUGAAUUGUGGAAUGAAACAAUAACAGAAACAUGCAAGGAGGAAUGUAUGAACAAAUACUGAAAACAUAUAAAUUGAAAUGGUAUGGAAAUGAUAUCGUAUAGAAAAUAUGUGAAGAGGACACUUUUAGUGCCCAACCUAACCAUGAAAGAUAAUUUAACAAGAUGAUAUGAAACUUAUUUGAAAACUCUAAAAAUAGAAAUGAAAUCUGAAUGCAAUAGUAUUGAAAUCCGGAAUGAAAAAUUAGCAAAACCAUGUAAUAGAAAAAAUAAUGAAACAUAUAAAAAUAUGAUGAAACACACAUGUAAUAGUUUCAUAUAAGUUUUAAUAUGGUUCAUAAUUUGAAUUUGAAUUUUUUUCAAAAGUGUUCAAAAUUGAUAUUGUUUUGAAGAUUUAAAUAUUUUGAAUGCUAAUAUUUAAACAGUUUGUCAAUCGGAUAUUUGGUUCAAAAGAUAUAAUUGGUACAAACUAUAUAAUCAAACCUAAAAGCAGCAUGGGUGUAACUAUGUGUGGGUUGGUUCAAAAAAUGGCUACCUUUUGACUACAAAACAUACCCACGAGUCACUUUGCUGUGGUGGCUAAUUGCUAGUUCCGGCAAAGAAAAGGCUAAUUCUAGUUGUACAACACAUGUCAUAGUAAUAGUAUAGCAAUUGAUAAUACUUAUCUUGUAUGUAUACAUGCAUGGCGUGCAUGUAGGACACGGUAAAACCCGAUUCCGCGAAUGUAUCCUUUUGUACGUCUAGCAUCCCUUUUUCCUGUUUUCCUUCCGUCCCUGGCGGCUGGAACCCUAGCCGCCGCCAGAGGAGGCUGAUCUUCCAACGCCGCUCUCCGGCGGCUCCCCUCCGCCGGCGACCUCGGUCGUCGGUGGUGAGGGGGGUCGCCGGAUCCACACGUGUGGAUCGCUUUUACUCUCUCGUACUUUAGGUUUUUAGGUUGUUCAUCGUCUUUGCUCCGGCGGCGACGAUGACAAUGCUGAAUAAAGAUUCUUCAGGUCCUUCACUGACGAGGUCAUCGGUCCUAUGGUUGGGGUGGAUUUGAAAACCAGACUGUUCAAGCAAGGAUGGCGUGAAGGCGGCGGCAUCCUCGUGGUGGACCUGUGUCCUCGGGCUCCGUCGUUGCGACGGCGUUUGCUCCAGCGUCGGCGCGGAGCUUGGGAGGUAGUCCAGGAGCGGAUGCAGAUUGUGGUCUGCAUCAACGACAUCUGGAAGACGGAGCAUGUGCUGGGCUCGUGGUUCGUGGAUGGCAGAUAUGGUUUCCUCCUUCGGCGUUUUAGUCGUGGUGGGGUGCCAGAUCUGGAGUUCGAUGGCGUGUCCGGGGUGUUGCCCCGGUCUGAUUCGUUCCACGGCAAUGGCUUCACUUUUGGUGAGCCACCUUGAAGGUCCGCAAAGCUGUAUAUCAGCGAUGGAGCCGCGUCGAGCUCGGGUGAGGAGGUGAUCCGUCAUUUUUUUCUUCAGUGACUGCUGCGGUGGUGCCGGAGGCAGGUGACGGGCAUUGGUAUCAAGCUCAGAGAUGUUCUACUAUCUUUUCAGUUUUGUCAUGUCGGAAAAACCGAUUCCGCGAAAAUCCUCUCCGGUUGAAUGUCCAGUAUCCCGCUCGCGGUCGGCAGACAUUUGACAUGUUGUCCGUUUGGUGAAGCUGACUAGAUAUCUCCCACAGCCUUUAACAUGAAGAAGCGUGCACGCUCAGUUUAAAGCUGCUGAAAAAUAUUGGCGAUCAAGCCAGCCUGGGACGACGAUUCUGCUAGACUAAGGGGGCGUUUGGUUCAGGAAUUUUUUAGUCCCAGAGACUAGAAAAAGUCCAUAGGAACCAAACAGGAGGGACUUUUUCUACAGGGACUAGAAAAAGACUCUACUAGAGAGUCUUUUUUUAUUAGUCCCUGGACCGACAUACCCACCUUGCCUCUUCCGGAGAAGGUACCGAAUGCGCCGUAGUUUGUUUGUGAAAAUUGUCACCGAUUGUGAGGCCGCCUCAGAUUACUUCAAGCGUCGUAGAUCCGCUGCCAGUAUCAUGGGGUUUAGUGCGUACCAAAAGAUAUCGACUGCAAUGCGGGUGCUCGCCUAUGGCAUACCCGCGGACUAUACGAACGAGUAUCUUCGCAUUGGACAAGAUACAACCACGGCGCCUGUUCGUAGGUUUGCAAAAUUGGUCAUCCGGUUGUAUGGUGAUGAGUAUAUUCGGGCACCCAACGAGGAAGAUACAAAGAGAUUGAUGGAGAUGAAUGAAAAAAGGGGAUGGCCGGGGAUGCUUGGUAGUCUUGAUUGCAUGCAUUGGAAAUGGAAAAAUUGUCCAAAGGCAUGGCAAGGAAUGUAUUGCGGUAAAAGCCGUGAUGCUACCAUUGUGCUUGAGGCCGUGGCAUCGGAGGACACAUGGAUUUGGCAUGCAUUUUUUGGUUUGCCGGAAACACUCAAUGAUAUCAGUGUGCUCAAUAGAUCUCCUUUGUUCAAAAGAUUAGUUUCUGGGGAUGCUCCAACUUGCAACUACAAAAUAAUGGACAAUGAGUACUCAAUGGGAUACUAUCUCACCGAUGGAAUUUAUCCCGAUUGGGCAACUCUUGUGAAGUCCAUCAAGGAGAAAAAUGGGGUGCCCUUAACCAGAAAAGAGGCUCAUUUCACCAAGGCACAAGAGGCAGCCCGCAAGGAUAUUGAGAGAGCUUUCGGUGUUUUGCAAGCAAGAUUUGCCAUAGUUCGGGGUCCAGCUCGUUUUUGGGACAAAAAAACCUUGGAGAACAUCAUGAAAUGUGGUGUGAUUCUACACAACAUGAUCAUCGAGGAUGAGAGAGGGUUAAAACUGCCUUGUUUCUAUGACAAUGUUGGUACUCGUGUGCAACCGGAAAGAAACCCUUGUCGCGUACAAGCUUUUCUUGAAGCACAUCGUCAGAUUGAGGAUGCAAAUACUCAUGGUCAGCUCCGGGAUGAUCUAGUAGAGCACCAGUGGCAGUUGGCUGGGCGGCGCCAAGGCCUAUGAUCUACCUUUGUUUACUUUUCUAUGUCCUAUUUGAUUCGAACAAUUAUUAUAAUUUGCUUCAAAACAUUGUUGUAAUAAAUUGAAUGAUUAUUAUGUGUUUGAAAGUACUAUUCGAUGUUAUUGAGAUGAUGAAAAUUGUGAUAUGUCAAAUGACAGUUUAAGGGUUGGGGUUGGGGCAAAAACUAGAACCCUCAAACCCAACCCUUAUAACGCCCCUGUUUUUCAACUCUUAAAAGUGUUAAAAAUGGCCAAUUCUUAAUCCUUAAAACUAGUUUUAGAUUUAAGGGUUUGAGGACUUUACUAGACAUGCUCUAAAGGGGUGCUCCAGUCAGCUACAGCUGCCUAGCCCUAGCGGAGCUCAGUUCCACGUGUCGAUAUGUCUCUCUGUAUCUGCCUCCAAAAUCCCCUAUAUAUACCCCGUUCGAGCUAAAUAACCCUUCAUCCAAACAAGCGAACACAAGCUACUAGCCAGUACUUGGAGAAACCAACAAUGGCGCCGCUCGCAGCCCGGAGGCCAGCCUGCCUCCUGGCCCUCCUCUCCGUCGCCGCGGCCUUAUUCCUGACCCCGACGGCCUUGGCGGCGGGGGGAAAGACCGGCCAGGUGACGGUGUUCUGGGGACGGAACAAGGCCGAGGGCUCCCUGCGUGAGGCCUGCGACUCCGGUAUGUACACCAUGGUCACCAUGUCCUUCCUCGACGUCUUCGGCGCCAACGGCAAGUACCACCUCGACCUCUCCGGCCAUGACCUCUCCUCCGUCGGCGCCGACAUCAAGCACUGCCAGUCCAAGGGCGUCCCUGUCUCCCUCUCCAUCGGCGGCUACGGCACCGGCUACUCGCUGCCGUCCAACCGCUCCGCGCUCGACCUCUUCGACCACCUCUGGAACUCCUACUUCGGCGGGUCCAAGCCGAGCGUCCCCCGCCCCUUCGGCGACGCGUGGCUCGACGGCGUCGACCUCUUCCUGGAGCACGGCACGCCGGCGGACCGCUACGACGUGCUGGCGCUGGAGCUGGCCAAGCACAACAUCCGCGGGGGCCCGGGGAAGCCGCUGCACCUGACGGCGACGGUCCGGUGCGGGUACCCGCCGGCGGCGCACGUGGGGCGGGCGCUGGCGACGGGGAUCUUCGAGCGCGUCCACGUGAGGACCUACGAGAGCGACAAGUGGUGCAACCAGAACCUUGGGUGGGAGGGCUCGUGGGACAAGUGGACGGCGGCGUACCCGGCCACCCGGUUCUACGUCGGGCUCACGGCGGACGACAAGUCCCACCAGUGGGUACACCCCAAGAACGUCUACUACGGCGUCGCGCCGGUGGCGCAGAAGAAGGACAACUACGGCGGCAUCAUGCUCUGGGACCGAUACUUCGACAAGCAGACCAACUACAGCAGCUUGAUCAAGUACUACGCCUGAGCUCCUGUACUUCCACAAGCCACGCUUCUUGCAUCACCGUCGGUUUGAUCCUGAUGUACUGUUGCAAACGAGAACAAAGUGAGGCUUGUACUUGGAUAUAAUAAAUAAAUAAUUGAACAGUUGGUCGUACAGAUCUCUGGUUUAAUCAUCAACUCCAUCACUUAAUUGCUUGUGUUUUUAUCUGUAGUUGAGUGAUACUUCCUCCAUCUCAAAAUAAGGCCCUGUUUGGAGGGACCAUCUCAAAAUAAGGCCCUGUUUGGAUCCCUCCGCUCCCCAACUGCAGCUCUAAGUGUCUUAAUUUUGUACUAAUUUAGUAUCUCAACUUUGUGCUACCUUUAAUACAAAAUUGUACGGAGGGAGUAUGUUACAACUGUGCCUUCACUUGUCAAGUACCGCUUAGCGAAUUUGCGGAACAAACUCUUGUCAUCUUUUGCGAUUAAAAAUGGCACAAACGCUCACUCAUGUAUGUAAUUUGUCAACAAGUACUAGCUGGUAAUUUUGACAUGCAAAAUCAUCAGUUUGCAGGAUUUACCAUCUCUUUGGCAUGCAAACCAUCAGGUUUAUAUACAAACAUUUUGCAGCAGUUUCCACUUCCGCAUAUUUACAGAGUAGCAGUACACAGUAAGAAAUCAACUCAAGCGGACAAUUCUCUCUCAAGAUUAAAUUGUAUACAUGCUUCUGAAUCUUUAAUCAUUUCUUGAACAUAAAGCUCUCUCUGAGGAUAUCCGCAGCUAAUAUAAGUAGCUCCAACAUCUCCAUGCUAGCGGAACCAAGGGGGUCCGCCUUUUCGGAUUUUGAUGAUUUAGGCGAGCCUGAAGUGAUACCACCUGAUGAAUCCCCUGACCAGCUUACUGGGAGAACGACGCCCAGAGCCGUUCUCAUAAGGUUCGCUUCUGUUAUAAGACUGCUCAGUGCUUCAUAACUACUCUCCAAAGAACAGCCGGAUUUGACAUCAUCAUAUACCUGACAAAAAAUGGUUAGGACACAAAAAAUGGGUAUCACAUAUUACUGCUAAAGCUAAUAAUUCAAUUAAAGAAAAAUGCCCUACCUUCAUAAGCACUCUGUGCAGCCUAUGAACCAAAGAAGUGAGAUGUUCCAUAGUAGCAACACUUUCCAAAAGGGUAGCAUUUUCAACUUUCAUCCUGUCAUAAAGUAGCAUGAAAUUUAAAAAAUUCACAGAACAAAAUUGUAAGUGCAGAGAAGAUUAUGGCAAAAAUAGUCUAGGAUGCAGCAUAUUGGGGUCAUAUUUAGCUAAUAGAAAGACUAAGUUUGAUGGGAAUGAACCAAAAAAGUAAUUUGUGUGUAUUAUCACAAACCUUGAUAGAUCUACUGAGCACCCUCUACACACUGUCUGAUCAUUUCCACGAGAGCUCUCAUGCCCAGUAUUAUUUUCCUUUUUUAUCCAUUGUCUUAGAGAUGUUCUGUUAAGAAUAGUCUUCAGCAUCCCUUGUUGGUCAUGCCCAGAAGUGAUUUUUGGAGUAUCAACAAUACCAUGACCAUCAUUUGCAGUAGAGCUGCUGUAUAAGAAGAAAAUAUAUAUAUAGUGAUAAGAAGAAGAAUGUAUAUUACACCCAGGAAAAGGUACUCAAAAUGUUAAGUAAAAAUCACAAACAUGAUCCAGUAUGAUGAUUUGCUGCACAUAAACCUUACCAUUUCAGGAGAUAAGCUUCUUUCAGUUUUGCUAACUCCAUCAGGACCUUCACCUUUUCAUCUUUAACCUGUAUAGAACAGAUGCAAGCAAGUUACGAGAUGUGCAUCCGAUGUUGCAUGCUCUAGUAUGUACCCUUAAGAUAAACUUCUAAGAUGCUGUGAAGAGAAGAGUCCAAGAGGAAAAUAGACAAACAGAAUGGCCUAUUUGCAUACUAAAUCCAGCUUCAUCCGUGCCUCUAUAAAGUCCUUGAUAUUUGCUGGAGCGUUAAUUGCAAAAUAAUGUAAGUUUUUUGCACUAGCUCCAAACAUGUGAUACACUGAAGGUGUUGAACAGAUCUAAUUGUUUCAUAGACCAUCAUAGUAAUAAUCGUUAACCAGUGUUAAUGGUGUAGUCCUUGCAUCUAUGUAAACUAGCCACGCGUCUGUGUACGCCAAUGAACUCAGUCAAAUUCAAAACACCAUCGGAGGUCGACAACUAGUCGAGCCUUUGGUGACAUGGCUAAACAAGUACGGUAGACCUAGCUCUCACAGUUGUGCAUUGACUGCUGCCGAUGCUGAACAGCAGCCGGCUCCGGUCCGGUUCUACAAUAGGACUUCACCAGAUUUUACCCUAACAACCACACCUCUAAUUUUGCAUUUCCAGAAAAUACUGAUUCUAGUAGGAAAAAAUGGACUGACAUAAUAUUCGUGACAGUGUCACAUGAAAUUUCUCCAUAUACUUUACAAUUUAAAGCACUCAGCAUAACUCAAGAUUCAUAAGACUGUAAAGAUUGUAAAAGGAAAAUAACGGCCAUCAAAAGUGUAGGAAAUACUACUUGAGAUAAGUUCUUCUGAAGGUCCUCUAUAAUAGCUUGGUUCUUCUGUUUUUCCAACAGGUAUCUUUCUUGUUCCUGUGAGAAAAGCAUAAGCGCCUCCAUCUGUGGUAGAUUUCAACAUAAUGUGAGAUUAUUUAAUAUAAAGAAAGGCCCAUAUGAGAAUUACAAGCAGAAAGAAGCACCAGGAUAACGCUGUACCUUCUCCUGCAAAGUUUGAGCAAGUGCUUUUGAAUCAUCAAAUGUUGUAGAAUAACCUGUAGGAACAUCACCCUACAAUAUACGCAAUAACAAGUUACGUCAUAUAAGUGUAAAGAGAAUUGUGACGUCCAGUCUUCAGGGAACUACUCCCUCUGAUCCUUUCUAGAUGUACUCCCUCCGUUCCUAAAUAUAAGUCUUUCUAGAGAUUCUAAUGUGGACUACAUACGGAGCAAAAUGAGUGAAUCUACACUCUACAAUAUACAUCCGUAUGUAGUCUUUCUUAAAAUCUCUAAAAAGACUUGUAUUUAGGAACGGAGGGAGUAUUAAUUUUUGAGUUAAUUACACUUUUGAUACAUGCACUUGCCCUCGAUGUACAGAUUCAUACAUAAACUUGAAAAAUGGCACAAAUCUGUUCUACAACUUGUGUUUCGGAUACGUUUAAGUACAUUUCCAUCGUUUACCGUUUACUCUACAUGCCAGGUGGCCCACACUCCAUAUGUGCGUGUGGGUCCCACCUGUCAGUGUCAUAGAAAGAAAUAGAAACGUAGCAAAAAGCAAUUCAACCAGCAGAACUCGAACUUGCGACGUCGCGUAGCGAGCUUCAGGCGUUAGCCAGUGCACCGGAUGCAUUUGUUGUUAGUACGAACAUACGGUCCAUUAUAUAUUUUAUUAGGUAAAUUGAUUCAAAUUCAGAAUGUGUAUUGCACGGGAUUUACUGCGUGCGUGCGUUUUUCAUCUCCGUUUUUCCCCGGUCGACCGGUUAUCAAAAAUUUAGGUGAGCCCCAAAUGUUUUUGAUAUCGUUCAAAAAAUUAUUUAUUUUCAAUUUAAAAGGUCAGAUAAUGUCAAAUAGAGCUCGUAUUCAUAUGUUUUCACAUUAAAAAUAAUCUUCCAAGUGAUAAGGCGCACGAAACAUCUUACAAAAACUGGACCUUUCCAGAGUUACAUUCAACAUUCUUUAUAAGAAAAAAUGGACGAGGCACCAUAGCAAUGCCUUGAACCCGCACCCCUCUGAAUAAACAAGUGAAGCUGGCCGCUAGAACAGGAGGCAGAAUUUGUCAUAUAUGGGGUUAAAAGGAAUAUAUGUUUACACUAAAAAGAUUGAAUUCAAAAUUGUUUUGAAAUUUUGAACGAAAAAUCCCAAAACCUCUGAGUUUUUCGGAAACUGUUUUUUCCGGUCCCUCCCGGAAUAAAACCUCUGAGUUUUUCGGAAACUGUUUUUUCCGGUCCCUCCCGGAAUAAAACCUAAAAAGAGUUUUAAAAAAUAUUGUUCGAACCCCUUGUGCAGCGCCUAUUUGGCUUCAGAUCAAUUGUUUCCUUGCUAUCCAAAAAGUUAACUAUGUGUAACACUAACAAAUAGUAGCAGGUGGUGUAGUGGUUGGCUUCUGGAGCGUGAUAGGUAACGCGCCGAGAUAGAUUCCUACUGUGCGCAAUUGUUUUGCUAUAUUUUUAUUUGUUUCUUUCUUUGGCACUGACAGAUGGGCCCUAUGCGCAGGUAUUGAGUGUGGGCCAACUGGCAUGCAGAGUUUAACGGAGUGUUGAUGGCAAACGACAGAAAUGUACUUGAAUGUACCUGAAACACAUUGUAUGACCGAUUUGUGUCAUUUUUCAAGUUUAUGUAUGAAUCUGUACAUCAAGUGCAAGUUUAUGUAUCAAAAGUGUAAUUAACUCUUAAUUUUUUUCAAAAGUCAAAUUUCUCUAUCCUUCACCAAGUUUCUAGAAAAGAUGUAACAUCUAAAAAAAGGAAUCGGUACUAUUAGAUACAUCAUGAAAUUUAUUUUCAUAUUUUCUUUAUUUAGUAUUGUACAUAUUGGUAGUCUUUUCUAUAAACUUGGUCAAGGAGAGAAAAGUUUAACUUCUGAAAAAAAAUACACCUUAUAAAAGGAACGGAAGAGUAGGCAAAGGAUGUUGUGUAUUAUUCAAACAAUACUCAUGUAUUACCUCUGUCCCAAAUGUUUUUACUUGGAGUUGCAAAAAUCAAUCCCAAAUGCUUUUGGAAUUGAUUUUGCAUAAGAAAGGGUAUGCCAAAUUAGUUCCAACGCGCCCAACUAAAAUACAGUACUACAGUAUUACUUGAGUAAUGUGCAGCAUCCUUUGCCUUUAAAAAAAUGAACCCCCGAAAAACAGGAUGUUACAAGAAAUGUUUUCUUCGGGAAAAAGAGGGGAACACAUCAACAAAGUACCUAUCUAAAAAAAGCAAGGACAUGGUAUCUUGCUUACACAAGAUAAAUAGUCGAUCUGAUUUAAAUGUAAAAAAGAAGUAUGCCAACCCAGGAUAUAUUCAUUAAGGUGUUCUGGAGAUUUGACACUAUUAAGUAAUUUAUCAAUUUCUUCACAAGUUACACUAUAACUCGUGAGCACAAAUCUAGAUCGAGGAAAAGGUUCCGAGAGGAAGUGGUUCCGCAUAAAAGCAAGACUUGAGAAAGUUCAUUAUGUUCUGAACAAACCUUGGGGAUGGUUUCAGGGCCAAUAUCCAUAGUAACAUGCACGUCUUUACAACUACUGUCACAGCAUUGCAUCUUCUCAACAGGGUUACCAAUGAUCUCAGCAUUGAUGCAAAUUUGAGUUAACUUGUCUUGAAUCUCAUUAACAGCCGUGCUUAACAGAAGUGAUUCUUCUUCCAAUAUUUUCAUAAUUUCAGCCCUUUGAUGUGUAUAGACUUUUUGAAGAGCUGACAGACCAUCUCUCAUAAGAUCAUCAUUGAGUGCCUGCAUUCCGAAGUGUAUACAUCAUUAAGCGCAUUAAGGUGCAUUUCAUCAUUGAGCGCAUUAAGGUGCCGUCAGAAAAAAAAAUGAUAUGAUAAGUUGAAUUUUUGUACCUGUUUCUUUUCCAGUGUUCGUACAUUUCUUUGCAAGUGCUGUUCAAUUUCGAAACUCUGGACAUCCAAAUGACAGAUCUCUUAGGAAAGCCGAAAAACUAUUUGUCUCUGCUAUGGAUAAACUUAACUUACCAUUCUUAGAUUGCUUUGCAGCUUAGAUAUUUUAGCUUUAAGCGACUCAUUCUCCUGUUCUAGAGAUGCCUGCAUAAAAAAGAUCAUUGAAUGUGUAUAAAACUAGAAACAAUAAAAUUAUUGAAACUGUCAAGUAACAAAAAGAAGUUUGCUGGUUUGCCGCUUGUAAAGAAGCAUACAAGGCUUAUGUUAUUAAUUUAUCUAUUUAUUAAUGUUGCCCAAUCAGAACGUCUUACUAAGUUUAACUGAUUAUGUCUAUACCAUACUUCGGUACAUUCCACUAUUCCAGCCAUUUAAAUAUAUAAUAAUGCAGAAUGUGGAAACUUCUACACUACCAGUGGAGCAUCGAUUUUGCAAAUGAGAAUUUUUGACAGCCAGGUCCUUUUGUAUAUCUGAGACCACAUUGCUUAAUUUAGGCAGAGAGGACAUGAUCAUCUCUAGCAGAGUCGAACCUAUAAAUAGAAUAACUAUUUACUUACAAUCCUGAAAACCAUCAGACAUGCAACUACUUUGUAAUUUCUGUCUCCGCGUAAGGUGCUGUAAUUUAUACUAGAGAAAGCUAAAGUUCAAAGUAGAGAUGCUUCCUAUUAGAAUUUUAGAAAAACGUGAUAACUGACAUCAAAGUUUAACACGUCCCUAUCUUUUGCAUUUCUUAGGUUCCCAAAAUAAACUUAACCAGACAAACAUAUCCUACAAUAGUGGAUUAUAAAAAUUCAACAGAAGUAUUAGAUACUCCCUCCGUCCCAAAAUACUAAAUCGGCGACGCUUAUUUUGGGACGGAGGGAUUAUAUUUUAAACUGGAAGAACAGUGAAAAAUUAAAACAUAUCAAUCUGCAAGCGAAUUAUUAUCUCUCAUGGAUAAAGUGAUUUAAGUUUACAAUGUACUUCGAAGUUGAGGUUUCGCCAUCCAGGUUGAAACUCCAACUGUCAGCAGAAUCAUCUAGAAGAAUUGAGCAUUUCUCUUCAAAAGUAAUGUUUGAAGGGCAUUCACAUUCCCUCGAACGAACUUCAUAGAAUUUUUUAAUAACCUGAAACAGAAUCAAACAUCAAACUCCCAGUCAAGAAAGGAUCAAUUCUGAUAUAUACUGGGCGGUGCAAAUGAUGCGAACUGAACACGUCAAAUCAGCAUGAAAGAGGGCAGAUCCCAAUUGGAUUUUUUUUAUCUAAAAUAUACCGAGUGUAGAUGGCGAGGUACAGACAACCACAUAGAUUAGAAAUAAAAAAUAUGCAGUAGGUCAAGGAAAUUAUUUUACACUCAGGAGUCCAUCAAAAACACUCAAUAAUAUACGUCCUACUUAGUGAAAUUUACAUUAGAAAGUUGGAUGGGAAAAAUGGGCUAGACUACUUAAAUCCUGACAUUAUUCAGGAUUUUGACAGUAAGCCAUAUUUUGCAUUUCGUUUUUCAUUCUCUCGUUGGGCCCACUACUCAGUGACACAGCCCAGUGGCAAAAAUUAAAUGCACAAUGGCAAAAGUAAAAUUUACAGACUUAUAGUGGUAAGAUUUUCCCUUUAAAUCCUUCAUUGAACAGAAAAAUUUACCAGAUAAUCAUUGUCGACACAGCAACACAAAACAUGCACACAUCCAAGAGAGAUUUAGGAUGCUCUUUUAGUUCUCAACUAAAAUCUGGUACUUUUUCAGUAUAAAAAAAAAAACCUUUUAAGUGAACUUGCACAGAUUUAUGCUGGUAGUAAUGGCAAUAAGAAUCAAAAGCAUGCUUACAUUCAAGGAAGAUUCUGUAUGCGCUUUUAGUUCUGUCAACUCCAUUUGCAGGGCAUCGUUCAAACGUUUCUGAUCUUCCAUUGCAGUUUGAUAUUCUCUCGUCCUGCCAAUUAACAAUCAUGAUACUCUGCACUUAUCUGAAAGGUGCAGCAAAUCUAGGACAUUCUCCAUUCAGUUGUCGAAUGUGGGACCCUUAAAUAAAGCCUAUGUGAAGUGUAGUUGUGAUUUAAGAAACUACCAAAUACAGAAACAGAAAGAAUAAGUUCUGUGGUCACCACCCGAACGAUAUACUGCCUCUGUCCCAUAUUAAUUGACGCUCAAACGGAUGUAUCUAGCAGUAAAAUACGUCUAGAUACAUCCGUUUCAGCGUCAAUUUAAUAUUGGACGAGGGAGUAAUUGUGUAAAGAAUGUACAGUUAAACUUUGUGUCAGUACAUUUAGACUAUGGUACGCAUAUCUCGUUAGAGAUGGGCAGCACAAAUUUUAACUCGCACCGGAAGUUAAGAAAAUUUAAGCACUGCCAAAAUAAGGCCAUGUACAAUGCUAGGUGCUUAGAAAAAUAAAUCUGUUUUGCUUUAAGCACAAGUGGUUAUUUGUAGAGUACAGGUGCUUAGAAAAAUAAAUCGGUUUUGCUUUAGACACCUCUGGUACACAAAUAAGCACUGGUGCUUAAGAAAACAAUGGUUUGUUUUUCUAAGCACUGCUCUAAGCUCCUAGCAUUGUACAUGGUCUAAGAUUCCACUUUCCUCGCUAAACAAGAGAACAUUGUUCCAAACUUAACUAGUGCCCUUUUUUUAUUAGGAUGUGUUUCAUAAUAUGUGCAGUUGCAGGUCUGUCAAUGCACCAGCCAACAUUGAUAUCGGAUGCUGGCCAUUUUACAACCAACAAACUCACAUUCAAAAAGAAAAACCCUGCAAGACCACUUAUUUGUCAAGAUCUUUAAUACUGUAGAUACCAGUCAGUUUCCAUUAUACUCGCCUCUGGGGAACUUGGUGAAACGACACAUUAACAUUUCAUCUUCCUUAAAUAAUUAUAUCUUAAAUACCAGAGAACAGUUCAAGACAUGUGAAAUAGGAAAUGAGUUGUACCUUUCCUCAAAGGUAGCGCACAUUUUUAACCCUGCUUCUUCUCGCUCCUUUGCUUUCUCACACUACCAAUUUCAAAUGUCAUGUGUAAAGCAUUACAUCUUUAGAUACAGAAUUGACUUAAUAAGUAAAUCAAGAAGAACCUCCAACAAUGAACCAUCUCGUUCAGCAAAUGCUUGAGCAACGCUGCUCUGGAAAAACCUCACUUGCUGCUCUAGCUCCUUGGUCUGCAUUGUCAUUGCAGGAUAGAAGGUCAUUUCCACAAUAAGCUAGAUUUCUUGUAAACAGAAAUUAGGAGGUUAAAGAAUUAGUGACCUAAAUUCCACAAAAUAUCAAGUUUUAAGUAAGCAUAUGAGGCCUUUAUUAUCUAUUUCAAGUUAACUGAAGUGAAAUUAAUGUUAAGCAAAGGCCCCAAAGGGUACCUUCUCUAAAAAGACCAACCAAGACUCGGAAUAUGCCUAUCAUGCUUGAAAUGAUAUUUUACUUUCAGGCUGCAGAUUUUGAAUAAGCACAAUUGUUAGUGUUUUGUUUAGUUGUGCAGUGUCUGAAUGAUAUGUGGGUCUAGCUAUAGGUGAGCAUAGAUAUGUCAUUCCAUGUUCAAGCUCAAGGGACUUCACUCCCUAUACUACUUGUACGUGGAUGAUGGAGAACAAGUAUAAUUAUCUGCCACUAAACAUUAGUUGGCAAAAGUUACAACAUUAUUGACAAAACAACAACACUCGAUUGUACAAGUCAAAGUAUGAAACCUUUGAUAGCUCAGCACCAUAUAAAUCAGCAAGCUGGCUCUGAAAUUUAAGUAAAGCAAUCAUUAGAAGAAAGAAAAAGAAAAGCAGAUACAAACAAUAGUACAGCGAGGAAGAGAAGCACACCUUAACUCGAUAAGCCUCAGCAAGCUCCUCUUGCAAAUUUUGGUUCUCUCUUAAGCAUCCACUUAACUUCUUCUGAAGGAUCUCAAUAUCCUGCUCCAGAGCUGUUGUCCUGGAUAGUUAAAACAAAACAUUGGUUUACUUGCACUACAAUGAUAACAAUGGAACAUGGACAGAACCUAUGGAAGCACCUCUGAGAAAGCAUUCGAGUUGCAACAGAAACAUAACCAGGCCCAGCUUGUUGCAUACACAAUUGCUCGAUAUCUUUUCUCAGUUCAUCACGUUCUGACAAACAAAGAAUAUUUCAAUCAAUAAGUGUACGCCUAUACCCCCACAUAAAAGAAAUACAAGAAUGAAAACUGGAACUACUCCCAAAACAACUAGUCUACAUGAGCAACUUUGAGAAAACAGAACAUGGUGUUCUCUCCAUUCAAAAGGUCAUCAAUCUGAAGUAUGAGAAAAUAGGUACAUUGAUCUUCCAUUGAAAAUCUCUGAUUACUAGUAACAUCUGCCAAUAGUUUCCAACAUGUUAACCAUGUACACAUGACAUCCAAAGGAAGCAACACUGCGGAGUACUAAGAUACUCCUAUGACUGAACAAAGCUGUAGAAGGUUGGAAUUAUUAUAAAGACUCAUAAAAUGUCUAUCAGAAACAAUGUAACAUAAUUAGCCAAGGACUUCAGCAGCUACUUCAUGUACUUUCCCAAAUUGUACAGCAAGCCACCAUUAACAGAGUGAAAGAAAUUAAAAAAAAAACUAUUGCAUUCUUCGCAAAAAUUAUCUACUCAAAUAUGCGAGAAUAGCUGAGUUAUGACAGGGCACAUAUUAGUGAAGGAACUCUAGUGCAUUAUCCGCUUUUAUAUCUUGAGGUCAUUAUUGAAGGAAGCCAGGAACUAGUACGAUUCCCCCUGAAUUUCCAUUGGAGUGCCUCUAUUCCAAAAAGGGGUGAGGGUCCUGAAUUGAACUACUUGCACAGAGAAAACAAUGUAGCCAAACUAAUCACUAAUCUGCAGGCUGAAGUGUUAUAUAUAAUGAGAGCAACUUCUAUUGGCACAGGAAACAAUCAGUAUGUUAGGGUUAUCACUGAAAGUAUAAACGAAUGAAUGAUAAUCUUGUAUAUGACAGAUAUGAGUGAGUACCCCGCUGGAGUUCUUCAACUCGACGAGUUAAUACCUCACCAUCGUAUGGCUUCUCAUCCAUUUUCUACAGAAAAACAGAUAGAAUAAGACUAAUGUUCUUGAAUAAAAAUGCAAAUGAAUUGAUAUCCUACAUGCCAUAAUGUAACAUAAACAUCAAAGCCGUGCAAUGGAAGCCUCAAGUUCUGAGCACAAAAUAGUAGUAAUACCGCAGGCUUGCAGUGAAGCAGGGGUGAUCCCCUAGACCCGCUUCUUCCUACCAAAGCAGAAGUGGAAGAAAAAAUGUGCUGCAGCACAGGGGACAUGGACGGAUUUCUCCCAAGAUUCCGGACUCGGAAUCGCCACAAUUGCACCAACGCGGACGAAACCCUAGCCUCCUAAUCGGGCCAAAAAUGAAGCAUAGGUUCGACUGGGAUUCAGCAAAGCCUACCUUGAAUCCACACAGACUUAUGGCCGGGUUCGUCUCCUCCACGUAGUCGUCGAGAAGAGCACCGCCGCUCGCUUCGCCGCCGGCUCCGAGGAGGACAAGACGAGGUUUUGAGAGCUGUCUCAAAACCAGAUGGUCGCUCCUCGUGGCCUCACAUGCGGAGCCUGAGAGGCGGGCCAGAGCGGCUUCGGUCUACAAGUGCAGAAUAUCGUGCAAGCAAAAUGCUGACGUGGCAAAAUAAUUAGGACACGUGUGGUGGAAGCCAAACCCGCCCACACGCCUUAUAACACGGAAAAGAAUUAUAUGAGACCAGGACUCACGGGCUAGCAUGUGAGACCCACCCUGAUGGAUGACACGUGGCAUUUAUAAAUCACAAAACAUCUACCCACCCUCACUUAAAAUCAGGGGAGAGAUUAUAUGCUUUUAUGAUUUGUGAAUGCCACGUGUCAUCCGUCAGUGUGGGUCUCACCUGCUAGCCAGUGAGACCUGGUCUUAUAUAAUUUUUUUCCCUAUAACACACAGAGUGCAUCACGUCAUCGCAUGCAUGUAUGUGAGAAUCUUUUUGGAUUUUCAGUUUUUAAAAUAUUUUAUCUCUUAAAUGAAAAAUCCGAUUGAAGAUCCUUUUCAUCAUUAAAUCCCUCGCAACGGGAUCUUCGAAACUAGAUCUCAUAUCAAUAUAUUUCGACGAUUUUUUUUGGUUAAAAGUUGUCAUGUCUAUUGCACAUGAAUUGCCACGAUAUUUGCAUUGAAGUUGUCAUGAUAUGUUUCAGCUAUUUUCUUUUACAUCUAAAAGUAAAUUUUGACAUAUUAUAAAACGGGAAAUUAAGAAAUUAGACUUGCCAUGAACCAUAAACUAAAAUUGCCAUGAUACAUGCACUUAAAAUUGUCAUGGUUCAUAAAAAAAUAAUUUUCAUGGUCAAAGUGCUGGAAUUGCCAUCAUCAAAAAUUGCAGUGUAAACCCCAUGCUCUACAAAUUAAAAUUGCCACAUCGCAACUUUAGUUUAAGCACUAUGGCAACUACAGUGUAAACGUCAUGGCAACUUUUGGGCAAAAAAAUUCGUCGAAACAUAUCAACAUGGGGUCUAGUUUUGAAGAUCUCGUCGAGGCGGAUUUAAUGGUGAAAACGGAUUUUUAAUUCGAUUUUUUAUUAGGAGAUAAAACAUUUUUAAGCCGAAAACCAAAAAGAUUCCUGCAGAUGUCAUCUGUUCAUACGUGGCAAAAUGAGUGGUGAUGCAGGCGUGUGGGCAAUGUGCAAGAUGCCACACGUGUGGACGUUUGUUUUUUCCAAUAAUUAAAGGAUGUACAAUGAUUAAUAAGGCAGCCUUGCGAAUCAACCUCUAGUUCGAUGGUUAGAGCAUCUUUAGCACACCAUGUAUAUCGCCGACCCGCAAAAAUCAUUUACAGUACGCGGAAAAACGGUUUUGUGGGCCGGCGCAGGUAUUAGAUGCGGUUUUAUCUGAAUUUGACACAUAUGCACAUAUUCAUAAUUACUAAUUUGCAAUAUAAGAAAAAUGUCAAUAUUACAAUACAACAAUCAUUCAAAUUACAAUAAUUAUUCAAAUGUCCGAAGCAAACUAAAUAAUUCAAUACAAAACUUGUCCUGAAUACAAACCACACAUGAAUUAAAUGAAAAUGAAUCGAAAAAUGAAAUGUGUUACUGCCUAGCCCUUUGCCAAUGGUGCUCAAUGAGAUCCUCCUGAAGCUGAAGUGAAUGUUUGCAUUUUCAGUCUCUUUGUAGGUCUGAAGAAAACAUCUAAUGCAGUUAGGGCCUCUAACUGGUUUGACACGGCUACCCACAUUGUCGUAGAAGAACUCCAAGUCCAUGCCUCUCUCAUCUUCAAUAAUCAUAUUGUGAAGAAUAACACAACAUGUCAUGAUGUUUUUCAAGGAUCGCUUGUCCUGAAAACAAGCAGGACCACGAACAAUGGCAAACCUAGGUUGCAAAACCCUGAAUGCUCUUUCAAUGUCUUUUCGGGCUGCCUCUUGUACCCUUGCGAAAUCAUAUUGUUUCCUAGUUUGGGGGUCGUUGAUGCUCUUGACAAAUGUGCAUCAAAGAGGGUAUAUACCAUUUGCAAGAUAGUACCCCUUUGUGUAUUCAUGCCCAUUGAUAGUAUAGUUGCAAGUAGGAGCAUCACCACUAGCAAGCCUAGCAAACAAAUGAUAUCGUUGCAACACAUUGAUAUCAUUGAGAGUACCCGGCAUACCAAAAAAGCAAUGCCAAAUCCAUAAAUCCUCGGAUGCUAUGGCCUCUACCACAAUUGUUGCAUCACGAGACUUGCCACAAUACAUUUCGUGGCAUGCUUUUGGGCAAUUUUUCCAAGUCCAGUGCAUACAAUCUAUGCUUCCUAGCAUGCCAGGCCAAACUCUUCUAUCAUUAGAUGCCAUCAAUUUUUUUUGUGUCUUCCUCGUUGAGUGCCCGAAGAUAUUCAGGACCAAAGACACGGAUGAUCACUUUGGCAAACCUACGCACUAACUCAAUUGUAGUAUUUUCACCAAUGCGAAUGUACUCAUCGGCAUAGUCAGCCGGAAUGCCGUAUGCAAUUACCCGCAUAGUUGCCGAGAUUUUUUGAUAUGCACUAAAUCCCUUCAAGCCCGCGGCAUUUCUUCUUCGAGUAAAAUACCGACAAUUGGCCUCGCAAGCUUGAACAAUUUUCACAAAGAGGGAUCGGCGCAUUCGAUACCUUCUCCGGAAGAGGUGCGGCGGAUAUGUUGGAUUCUCCGCUAAGUAGUCUUGCAUCAACAUCUCGCUCCUGAGAUGGCGAUUUUGGGGAAUGCAAAGACGGCCGAUGGUCGAUCCUCGCCGCCUCUUUCGGUUCUCAUCUUCGUGCUCCUUAACGGCAAGGGCCAUCACCAAUGUCUGCUGGUGGUAGUUGACAAGUAGCGUCUCAACAUCCGAGUCGUUUGAAUCGGACAAAUCGUCGAGCAAAAACUUCUCGCACGGGCUCAAUUCCAACUAAAAUCACAAAUACGCACGCCGCGUUAACCAACCAUGCAUACCGCUCGACACAAGCACAAGUACAAACUCACCGGUUGCUCGGGGGCGGUGGCUCUCCGGCGGUGGAUCCCAAGGCGACGACGGUGACUAGGGGCGGCUCGGAUCGACGGAUCCGGGGAGCCGGUGCAGCGGCUCGGUGCACGAGGGUAGGGGCGCCCACGCGGCGCGAUUCCACCCGCGGAUUUGGCCGGAAUCGCCGGCGCCGGACGGGCGAAACCAAUGGCGGGCGGCGGUGGAAGGGGUGGGGGAAAGGGCGUGGGCUGAAAUGUCCCUCCCACCAACCGCUUUCCUGGGAUACGGGGUGAGGCGGAAACCUGCGUUUUCGCGGGUUGGGGAUGGGAUUUUGCCGCGCCCCUCAAAAAAUUUUACGGGUCGGACGCGUUUACAGGGUCUGGUCGGGCAACAUUUUCCACGCCGACCCGUAUUUUGGCGGUUAUUUUGCGGGUCGCGGCUUUUUACGGGGUUUGCUAUAGAUGCUCUUAGAUAGACAGUGGUAUGAUUCAAGUCUUGAUACUCGCAUUUAUUCUGGAUUUAUUUCAGAAUUUUCGGCGAUACAUGUUCAGUGGGUGAAGACGUUCCCGUCGACUACGAGGCGCCUAGGGUGACUUCGUAAAAUCUCAAGUUGAUAUGCUGGCUCAGUCUCUCGGAGAUGCUCAUAGGGAUAUGGUGUGCGUGUGUGUGUUCAUAGGGAUAAGUGUAUGCGUGUAUAUAUAAGCGCUUGUGUCUGUACUGAUGUUCAAAAAAAUAAGGCAACCUUAUUUUAGUUUUGCCACAUGAGAAGACAAUACAAGAUGAGUAGGGCAUUCUGAAGACCGAGCUUCGUAGAGGCCUUAAUUUUAGAAAGAUCAUACUAUUCAGUUUCAAAGAAUUGUAGAAAAGAAAAUACACAUGUAUAGAAGUAUGUAAUGUGUAUGCGUAUAACAUGUUUGGAUGAAAUCUUGAAUUGCGAGCUGCAAAAGAAAAUCCUGAAUUUUGAGGAUGAACUGUAAAUAUGUUAGACAGUCAUGAAUUUAUUUUUCUUUUGUAGCUCUAAUUUUAAUGUAUUUCAACCUAAAAAAUUAUGCAUGUAUACAUUGUGUCUCUAGAUAUAUAUGUAUUUUUCACAAUUUUCUGAAGCUGAAAAGUUCUAAGCUUUCAAAUUAAGACCUCCAUGAAGCUCGGCCUCCGUUCGGCAUUUUUGAUAAAAAAAGUAUGAUGAGUUCUUUCUUAGUCUUACAUUUUGUAGAACACCCCUUCCUUCUUUUAUACAGCUUGUUCCGUUGCACUUUACGUGCGCUCGGUGGAAAAAAAUCGUCACUUCUGUCGCAUGCACUACAAGAGAAAAAACAAAAUUACCAUCAUGGGAUUCAAAUCCACAACUCUCUGGCAUCAAGCACACUGCAACAACCAACUCACCUAAAAGGAGUGGCUGCCCCAAAAUUAACCUUUUUAUCAUUUUUUCACAACUACAUUAGUAUAUAAGUUAUCAGUUUUGCUAAAGUACAUCUAGAUGUGUCAUAAGUAUUGCAUAUCUAAGUCUUAUAUCAUUGAUCUUAUGCGGAGAUUCAUGUGAGUAUUUUUUUUCUUUUUUAUGCUUUGAUUGAGUCAUUUAAAUGCGCAAUAACUAGACGUGCCCUAAACAGACCCAUAAGUUAUCCUUAUGUUUGAACGACUUUUUCUUCGGAUUAAAGUUAUCAUGGUGUUCUAUGUAAAUUAUCAGGUCUGUGAUGCAUAAGUUCACAUGCUAUUUACACAGAAAUUAUCGAGGUAUGUUUUAACAACUUUUUUUUCUUCGGGUCAAACCUUUUUUACCACAGUACAAACGCAGACGCUCAUGCACUCACCCCUAUGAACGAACGCACGCACAUCCUAUCUCUGCGAGCACCUCCGAGAAACUUGAGCGACACAUUAUCUUGAGAUUGACAAAGUCGCCAUGGACAUCUUCUUAGUCGACGGAACGUCUUCUCCCAUUGAACGCACAUCGCCGAAAAGUCUAAACAAAUCAAAAUAAUGCGAACACCAAUGUCAAAUCUAUCUCCGUGUCAAAAUUAUCACUGUGUUUUGUACACAAUUUAUCAGGUCUGCAAUACGUAAAUUACUAGUGUAUCAUUCAAACAACUUUUUUCAUGGGUCAAAGUUACCAUAGUGUUGCAUGUAGGUUAUCAGAUUUGUGGCGCACAAAAUUAUCAUGUUACUUACCCAAAAAAUUAGAAUCGCUAUUUACACAAAAAGUUAUCGGACUUGUUUCAAUAACUUUUUUCGUGGGUCAAAAUUACCACGGUGUUGUAUGUAAGUUAUCAGGUAUGUGAUGCAUAAAAUUGCCAUAGUAUUCACAAAAAUCAGUAGGGUAUGUUUUAAUUAAGGAUGGCAAUGGGUAGGGUAUGGGGCGGGUAGAGCAAUACCAUACUCAUACCUGUGUAAUCAAUGGGUACAAAAUUCUACCCAUACCCAUAUCCAUGGAUAUGAACUUUUACCCGUACCCAUACCCGAUGGGUAGUCAUACCCAUUAGGUACCCAACGGAUAGAUCAAAUAAACAAGUUAUUCACAAUUUUACAUUCAUCUAUAGCACAUUUGACAAAAAAUAUUGAUCUCAACUCAAUAACAGUUAGAUGAGUACAUGAUAAUUAUCUCAAUUCAAAUUGACAAUUGGUGACAACUUUAACAUAGGUUCAUAAGCUCAUGACACAACUUUAACAUAGGUACACUUGUGAAUCACAGGUAAAACUCACAUGUUAGUAUAAAUGGGUAGGGUAUGAGUAUAUUCAUGGGUAAAAGGCUAUACCCAUACCCUACCCAUGACUUAAUAGGUAGGGUAUGGGUAUUACCCAUGGGUAUAAAAUUGUGCCCAUACCCUACCCAUGCGAGUACGGUAUCUGCGGGUACCCAUACCCGUGGGUAAAAUUGCCAUCCUUAGUUUUAACAUUUUCUUUUCCUGUGUGACUGUGUCAAAGUUACCACUGUGUUUUGUACGCAAAUUAUCAGAUUUGCGAUGCGUAAAUUACCAUACCGGUAUUUACACACACAAAAUUCUGGAUUAUGUUGGCGUUUGUAUGUAAAUUAUUAGGUCUGUGAUGUGUAAACUAAUAUCAUGUUAUUUACAAAAAAGUUUCAAAAAAUUAUCAUAUUUAAUUUUCAAUUAAAAUGUGUGGGUCUUUACCUCCCUUGGUUAUGGUGGCGGUUACCACAAUAUUUGCUUCUGACUAGUCAUAGUGAGGAGUACUACCUUCGUCCUAGUUUAUUAGUUUCGUGAGCUAUCAAAGAUUGUAUCAUUUUUAUUAGGCCACUGCCUUUAAACACAUCACUUUAUUUCCUCUAUCCCCGGAUUCCAAUGCUUUCUUCAUGAAAGCAAGCGCAUGGGACUGCUUGAUUGAAUAUGCAUGCAAGCUGCAUGCGCACAAUAGCCAUUGCUUGCACAAAGGUCGUAAAUAGGCCUAGUUAGUAGGGGUGAUUAGAGAGGAGAUUUAUUUCCAAUUUCUCUGUCUGCGUGCUUUUCUUGAUCUUUGCGUUUGGCUCAAGGGCCCAAUAAACUAGAACAGAGGUAGUAACUUACACUAGUGUCAUGCACAUGACACUAAUCUUUGUUACUAUCUCCAUAGUGCAAAGUAAGGCCCUGUUUGGUUCAUAAGUCCUAGGACUUUUUUUUAGUCCCAACUAAAAAGUUUCUAGUCCCUAAAAAGUCCCUCCCUGUUUGUUUUCAGGGACUAAAAAGUCCCUAGUCCCUCCCUAGAUGAUAUGUAAAAGACCAUGUUACCCCUAGUAUACAGAAAAAUAACAACCAAACAACACCAUAGGGCGGCGGGGCAAUGGGUGCAGGGAGGGGCAUUGUUGGAAAAGUCCCAAAAAAGACUCUCCUUGAGAGUCUUCUUCAUUUAGUCCCAAAAUGCAACUUUUAGUCCCUAGUAGUCCCUCGUGUUUGGUUAAAAAGUCUCUAAGAGGGACUUUUUCUAGUCCCUACACCAAAAAGUCCCUGGAAACAAACACCCCCUAAUAUAUAAGUAAUCAUAGACGAUUGCGUUUAUUAAAUUGUAGACUAUUUUGCUUUGGGUUGCGUAUGUUACAGUAACAUAUUAUGUUACUUCAAACACCUCUCUCCUCUAUAUACCACAUAAGCAAAUUUAUCUUGAAAUGCACUACGUUACUUGCUACUCCCUCCGUACCGGUGCAUAAGUCAUCUUACGUUGUGCACCACGACCAAGGCGAAGGGGGAAAUGAGAGAAUCUAAUGUUUAUUUGCUAAUUAAUACCAUUACAUGUAAUGAACUGACCACUGCAUGCCAUGCUAGGUAGUCUCAAGUCAUUAAAACAUAUAUGCCUCAUGUCUCUUAUUGGUUGAUUCAUUUUAUUUACGUCAAGAAACAAGAAACGAUGUGGGAGUUAAUGCAAUGUACCUAAAUGUUUUGGAAUUAUUUGGUUUUCGUAAGAUGACUUGUGCACAGGAGUAAGUUACUCCCACUAUGACCAGCCUCAUGACCUGCAUGUAGCGACAAGCAUUGCUUACAUGCUCUCGAUCUUCAAGGUGCUACAGAUUUCAAUGCUCUUAAUUGCCUAGCCAACUAAUUCCUCGAGCAAAGUAGGAAUUAGAAAGAUUAACGGGAAAAAACUACUUAAUAUGAAACCUGUAAAUCCUAUUGCCCACUAGGCGUUUAAACCAUGGAAGGAGGACGACAACGAAUCGAAAGAGUAGUUGGCUAGUGUGCUUGAUAAUUUUUCCCUCCUUUAUAGGAGUUCGUUUGUUCAAUUCCUUUUUCAAUCUAUUUCUUUUUCUCGCCCCAGGCUUUGGUCAACGGGGAAAAUCUAUACCAAAUAUGCGAAUCUAUGCAAAAUGCCUACCAAUGAAUGCACAAAGAAUUUAGUUGCUCAACAAAUAAAUGAAACUUAAAUACAAAAGCUAAGGUCUCUCCCAAUGCACUGUCUCUUAGCACGUUAUCAUAUAAGAUGUAAAAACCUAAAAGCAGCGGCGGAGCCAGCACCCGGCCACCC
rnacentral:lncRNA from 1 species